CUUAUUUGUUGAUUGUGGCGGCUGCGUAACUGUGCUUCCACCAUGGGCAUUGCUGUUACUUGCACCCAACAAACCAGAACCGAUAUUAACAUCAAUACUACUUGACCCGCCGCUAGACAGCUCUCCAUACAGUGACAUAAAAUCAGGUGCUUUUGUAGCAACUGAACCAGAAUUCAUAGCUGAAGUAUCUUGUGCUACAUCAACGAGACCCUCCAGUUGUUGGAAUGGAUCCACAGACAAGGCACUACUUGUAACAGUUGGUUCUCCCAGGUCAAGCAAGUCGGGAGGUGGCUGAAGUGGAGGAGCGGUCUUCACUGCAGUAGGUUCAGAUAAAGUCACUCCCUUGGUUGAGUGAGUAUUAUCCGUUGAAUUACUGUUCGCCUUUGAACCCCUGUUGGCAGCAGCGGAUUGUCGCUUCUCAGACUUGGAAGUACCGCCAAACAGUGACGCAACAAGCUUUUGCCUUUCUGGGGAUAUUUCGACUUGCUGCCUUCUUAAAUCAUGAGAGGCAUCGUGUGCUCUUGAUUUUGCACUACCUGUGGCAGCAGGUUGUGCUGCCCCGUUCACAGUCUUGUGAGAAUCAGGGUUCGAGGUUGAUGGGGCAGGAGAUGAAUAAGUUGGCCUACCCCACUUCUUUUGAACCCCAUCAAGUCGAAGCUUAAGCUCUGAUGAUCCUGCGUGAGAAGCAGAUGACACUAAUGGAGCUUGGUGUAUCUCCCUCACAUAACAUGGCUCAGGUACUGGAACAAGUUCAGUCGAGGGUACUAUUGUAGCAGGAAUCCUUGUGGGCAUGGUGGGUUUUGGAAGGUCAUAGGCCUCAAACCUAAGACAUUGUGUUGAAGCUUCAUGCUGAUCUUGGCUUCUAAAAUUGCUAAUAUCUAAAAUACCAGAACGUGCACUCUCAGGGAUAUAGGGCUGAGCCCCCUUCUCCAAGGACAGUUGGACGUAACCGUUGAGAAACGAAAGGUCUUUAUCUAUCUGCAAGGAGGAUUUAUGGAUGUUUUAUUAGUGUUCCAGCAUAAAUGAUACAACCAAGUAGCUACACAAGGUUAUAGAAUGUAAAAGUGGACAGCCAACAAACAAACACACACUGCAAGUACCACUGAAAAUAUAUGAAAUGUAUACAUGCUCAUAUGCCAGCACAAAACAACUUUUGAGGUCAAAAUAGAUGAAUAAAAAUUGCAUGCAUAUAUUAUUACUACAGUGCAUUAUGCAAGCCAUACAUCAGUACAUUCCAGUUUGUUCUAUACUACAGAGAAGAUAAAACUGAGCGAGUUAAAUAUGGACAUGUCCAUCAACUAAAUUACAUGUGCAUAUAAGCAUGAUUAGUUACAGAGCUCAAAGGUAGACUGGUUGACCCCUAAGCUAACAAUUAAACCUUGGAUCAUCAUCGCACACAAAAGUCUGCGAACAAGGUCUUUAAAACCAAAUUUAUACUGUUUUCACAAGAGAGACUCUAAAAAAAUUGACUAGUUAACUAAUAUCCUUCUAAUGCUUUUAAACUUGUUAACUUAUAAACAUCAAUCAAGCAUAGACAAUUCAUACACCUAAACGAAUAAAUCAUAUGUGUGUGUGUGUAUAGUUUAUAAUAAUAUAGAUCAAGUAUAAUAAAGCACUAUACUUGCACAUAUAAAAGCAUGUAAACAAAGUCCAUAAUCCUUUAGAUUGCUUAAACAUAUGACAAGUAUAAAACGAAAAACAAUUUUCUUAUGAUUUGCUAAUUUGUUAAUAUAUGUAGUUAUUUUUUUAUAUUCAUUUUUCUGAUAGCGCAAUUUAAAAGUUACCGACUGCAAAUUACCAAUUUUGUGCUGAAACGAACUAGAUUCAAAUUAUUUUCCACUCCCAACAAAUUUAAAAGUAAAGGCUUCUACUUCUAAUAGAGGGCUAAUAUAAUCUUCCAUUAGCGGGUUUCUGAAGUAGGUGAAGAAUACCAUUAAUAUACUCCUCCCAUUCUAAAAAUAUGAGAUCACUUACCAUUGGAUCUUAUAUUUUAGAAUGAGGGUAUUCUAUACUCAUAAAAUAAUAAUUAAAAAAAAUGCAGAACCUCAUAUACCCAAGUUUCUCUAGAGUUUGAGUGACGUGAAAAUUGAAUUGAAAAAAAAAAUAAAGAAAAAUUAGAAGAUUAAAUUCAGACUUUGCGCAAAUAAAUAACAAGAAUGUCAAUUGUCAAAUUAUCCCAUGAGUAAACUUCUUGAAAAUUUACAUCAGUAAAUCUAUAAUCUAUUUUUCCUAUGCCAGGUAUUAAAAAAAAAGGAAAAAAUAAAAAGAUAUUAACGAUCAGUGACCACAAAAUGGUAAACAAAAUAUUAUAUGUUACGAUAUUAAAUAUUACCUCAAUGUCUUCACAGCUUGCGUCCAGUGGCAUUAUAUUCUCAACAGCAUAAGCAUCCAAACCAAUGACCGCUUGAAGUUCAUAUGCACGUUGCUGCAGAUCCGUUGAGCUUGAUGCAGAUAAUUCUUCAAUUAAGGAUUGGCACUGCAUCAAUGAAUUAAAUUUUACCAAUCUCAAAAAAAUCUUAUUUAGGUAUUGAAACAUACUGAACAGAACCGGAACUGCAAGAUGUUGAUUGUAAAACACAAUGAAAAGCAGAUCUCAUUUCUUGGAGAAUUGAGUUUUGUAGUCAAAUGCAUCCAGACUUGAAUUCAUUCCUUAAACUAGUCCACCAAAAAAUUACAGAGAAAAUAGGAUACAAAAUACUUCACAAAUAAUACAUGGUAGUUAAAAACAUUAAUAAUGUCAAUAACCAUUUGUCAACCUCUUUUCAUGUCAAGUAACCAAAACAGAAGUUUAAGUAUACAAUUUACAUAACAGGAGAAGGAAGGGGGGAGAAUUCACUAGACUCCCAACAAUAUGGCAUGAAAAUCAAAAUCAACAGAUAUCUGAUCAACCAUUUGACACCAUAGGCGUCCGUAUGGCGACAAGUCGUUAACAAUGUGCAAUUUAUAAAUUAUUUAUUUACUUCAAAAGUAUAUUGAACAAUAAAAUUUUAUAUACAUUAAAACCCAAAACAUAAUAAUUAACACUAUGAAAUACAAUCAAAAACACAAUUACAUGAAUACUUCACAAUCAAAAAAACACUUGACAAUAAAAACUAGUAGAACAAGCCAACAAAUGCUAUAUAGAAAAUAAAGAAUCAACCAAGUCAACACCCAUCACACAUUAUAAAUCUAAUAAGUAAAAAAAUUACACCACAUAGCAAGUUCAUGAGUUAUGAUGAGUCAUGGGUGCAAAAUGACUUGAUCACUUUACUUGACGUAACUAAUAAGGCUUCAACUACCAAGGCGUGAGCCUUGAUAGCUUGACAUCCAAGGCAUCGAUGUAUCCUUCUCUAGUGCCAAAACGCCUAGUUCCAUGACAACUAUGUUUGACACCCAUAAGAGGUGAUAUUUAAAAUUAUAUUAUACUCCCUCCGUCCCAGGACGCAUAUUAAGAAAUGAAUAAAAUGACAAAAUUGUCCAUAAUAAUGUCAUUAAAUAUGGAUAGAGAAUUAUAAUAAGAAAAGUAUGAGAUAUUUAAUGCUAUAGGUAUAAUAGAAAAAUAUAUGUAAAAGUUUGGUUAUUAAAGGAAAAUAGACAUUUAACAUGGGACUACCCAAAAUAGUAAUAAAGACUUUUAUCAUGGGACGGAGGGAGUAAAUGUUAUUAGUUAUGUAUCUAGAUGUUUGAUUUAUUCUCUAAAAGACAUCCAAAAUAUAAGUGCAAUGAGAAACUUCACUAGACUCCCAGCAAUACCACCAUUUGACAACCAUGAGGAAAAUCAAACUAUAAAUGUUACAACUUAUGUGUCUACAUGCUUGAUUUUUUUUCCUAAAGACAUCCAAUAGAAAACUAAUCAGUCUAGACACAUCAGUUGAGGGAUCGGUCGGUAACUAAAUCUUCUACAUUAAAAGUCAACAAACUCUUUAACAAAAAUUCCUGGAUACAAUGUUCCGUUCAACUAUGCUCCAAAGUUUCUGGUGAUAUCAAAAAGUGAGAACAUACUCUCAGAGUACCACUCCUAGUGCAAUAGCUUAACAGAAACUAACUACAGAGAAAAGUCAAUAAUAUAGAAGAAGAAAACACAAAUUGAUUGUUUUAUAGAGAGCUCUGUUUUUUAGACCAACCUAUGACCAUGUUACAAUGUUAAUAGACAUAACAGAAUAAAACAAUCUCCACUCUGAAAUAAAAAGAAUCACACAUCACCAAACUGUGGAAAAAACUUCAACUCCUCUCCAUGAGGGCAGUUUUUUAAGAUAAAAAAAAUUAUUGAUGAAUAGAGAAGCCAACAAGCCUUCCCUAAAGAAAAUCAAGAGAAAUUAAAGAAAAAAAGUGGAAAGCAUUAUGAAGCACUGCCCCGUCAAUCUUAUGAAGAUAAUUUACUUGAAAAGCUCCUAAUGCAUGAGCACACAGAGAAACAAAGGAAGAAACUUCAUCACAAAUCAACUCUAUAUUUGUCGCCUAAUCACAAAACAUCCUUGCAUUCCUCUCAACCCAAACUACUCACAAAAUGACAAGACAAACAUGUCUCCAAAGAACCCUCCAUCACACAAAAAUAAAUGAAAAUGAAAAUGAGACUCACUAACCUGUAUACGCAUCACAUACAUCUGGUGAUAAGAAUUUUAAAGCCUACGCCUCUGAAGCAUAUUAGUGUAAAGUUGACCAAGAGUCCAAGACCACACAAAAACCUUCCUUUUUCAGGAAACCAUUGCUUUCAAAAUAUAAGAAUCAAGAUGAAAAUGUUUUACUAGAUGAUAAAUUAGAAUGUGAAAACAGACCAACAAGAAAAGAUGCCCCAGUAGAUCACACCACCAAACAUGCCUAUCCAAGUACUGAAAAUCAGAGACUGAAUUAAGAAUUUGAAUAGCUGAAGAAAAAUUCUAUCUCCGUGUCAUUUCAGCGGAAAAAUGAAAAUUCCAAGAAGUAUUCUCACCACCCAAAGAGUGAAGUUAGAAAUUAGAGAAGUAACAAAAAACGAAACCAGAUUUUCACCCAAAAAUGAGAGGUAACAAAAACAAGAAAAAGUAAAGAGAGGUGCAUCUCAAUUCUCAACCCAUAUUUUUAUCUAAAACUGAAUAUGCAUAUGCCAUUACCAACUCGAACAGAACAAGGAACUGUAUCCUUGGGAGAUGAACUUUCAAGGAUUGGAAUGAGUAACAUAAGAAGAAAAUACUGAACCUCCUUUUUUGAUUUACUCGACUCUUAUAUUUUCGAUCCGAAACAAAGAAGAAAGGAAGGGAAAAAUAGAAGUUACUAAAAGGGAUUGGAAUGAGUCAGGAUCUUGAGGAAAGCGCCAUAGCCAUUUUCCCAAUACAGAUAGGUUCUUAUAUACUAGGUUCCUAAGUCCUAAAAUCCCGUUCCUCUCUAGGACGACAUAUGAAACAAAAUCUUCAUCCACCAAAUAAUUUUGCCUAUCCUUGCGGUCACUAGCUAACAAAAACUUACACAUAAUGUGCUCGAGUAACUGAGCCACCCACAUCGUGAACCUUAAACAAUCAAAUAUUAUAAAAAGGGACACUUGCAUAACAGUCGAUUCUUUUUGUACACCAGAACAACCCUACAAGCUCUUGGAGUAUCUAGGUAUUUAGGAUCUCAGCUAAAGCAGCCUAAAACCACAACAGAAAAUCACAUUGCUUUUAACUAUUGCAAUGAAAGGAAGCAAUAUCCUUGGUUAUAACUUUUAAAUUAUUUAGUAACAAUCAAAACAACAUUCAUGGUUGCAUAAGAAACUCUCUCAGCCAUGCCUUACUCAAAUGUAGUUAAACUCAAACCUUCCCAAAAACGAGAGACCCAUUUUCAAAAGUUAUUCGUUAAAAUCCAAAUUAUAUUGUUCUAUAUCAAAUCCAUUUAUACAACACUUAAAAUAUCUAUUCCAUUUACAUGCAUCAAAAUUGUUUAUAUUGUUUGGGAACUAAGAAACGAAAGAAUAUCCCCCAAAAGAUAGUUCACAUAUUGAGUAUUGUCGUAAAAAUGUCACAAUCUUCGAUAGUGAAUUAGGUUUUCUAGUUGAUUCGAGAGAAGUAGGAGAUUAGAAUAUAGAAUCAGAGAUAAAAAGAUAGAUUGGAAAGAUAUUACAAAGAGAUAAGGGAAGGAUUAGAGAUUAGAGAUUAGAGAUUAGAGUAGAAUACAGAUAGUGAGCAGAUUUAGAGAGAAAACGUGGAGAAUUCUGACAGAGAAAGUAGAGAGAGAAAGAAGAGGGAAGUUAGAAUUCAAAUUCUAGAGACAGAAGAAACUCUCAGUUUCAAUAUCUCACAUCAACAUUAAGAAACAACUAGCAUGGCUAUCUGAAGACAAUAGCCUGAUAACAAGAGUUGUUUAACUAAUAACAACAGUACCCUUGUUGUACGAAGUAACCAACUACAAAGCUCUGUGGAGUGGGAUUGUGACAAACCUUCGCCUAAAAACAAUUCAUGUUCUCAUGGAUCAUAUUCAAAUUUUGGAAAAUAGUAAACUAUGCUAAGCUCAUUCUUUCAAAUAGCCAACGAGCAAGGUCAAAACAGAAGCUUUAAGAAUUUAUCCAACAUAAUUUAUAGCUGGGCAUCUUAGGAGGCUCGACUUCACUUUGAAAAAACCCUUUCCUAUGAACCAUGAAAGUUGAAAAUGCUCUGAUUUUAGGUUGCCCAUAUGUUGCUGUGAAUCUGGCAAAUCUGCGUUCUUGGAUAAUGUCAUAACAUUGAACAUAGUUGUCAUGGCGCCACGGCGAGAUGCAGCGGUAGUUGACUGCCAGAACGCCUAGGCGACAAGGCGCUCGCUAUGGCAUCCGUAUAGCGACAAGUCAUUAAUAGUGUCCAAUUUAUAUAUUAUUAAUUUUACUUCAAAAGUAUAUUGAGCAAUAAAAUUUUAUUUACAUUAAAAACUAGUAGAACAAAUCAACAAACACCACGUAGAAAAUAAAGAAUCAACCAAGUCAUCACCCCAUCAUAUAUUAAUAAAUAAUAAAAUUACACCACAUAGUAAUUAUGAUGAGUCAUGGAUAAAAAAUGACUUGAUCACUUAACUUCACUUAACUUGGGCUAGCUACCAAGGCAUGAGCCUUAACAGUUCGGCGUCCAAGGCGUCGCGUUGGCCUUCUCUAGUGCCAGGACUCCUAGGUGUCGCCUAGUUGACGCAAUGACAACUAUGACAUUGAAUAAUAGAAUGAUAAUAUUCUCUUGUUGCCUAAAUCCCUUCGAAAAAGUCUUUCCAAUCAUAAUCUUGAGUACUGGUUUGUCGCAAUGAGGUUCCCCUAUUUUGUGAAACUUUUUUCCCUCAUGAUUUAAUGACAUUUGUAAAUACUGGAAAUCAAUAACGGUCGGCCCAAACUUCCCUAAACAUUUUUUCCCCAAAACUAAUGUUAAGAAAACUAUAUGAGAUUGUUUGUAGGCAUUUCAGAUGACAAUUCUCAAUUGAAGGAAGAGAAUAAAGUUCUAUAUUAUGAUUUAGUUUUGUCCAAUUUUCUAAAUUGAAGUCUGAAAUUAAGAAUCUGAAGUUCAAGUUGAUGAUUUAACACGGAAUUGAAUUUAAUCUUAUAGAAUGAGGAUUUGAAUAAGAAAUUGAUGCUUGUAAAAGCUCAAGUACUGCAAAGGACUCCAUGAUGGCUGAACAGAAGAUAUACAAUGAUAAAACUGGUAACGGCUUUAGAUCAACCAAUAAUGUGAAAAGAAUCCAGUCUCGAAGGUUACAUAAAAUGCAACUAGGACUUGAAAUGAUCACAUUUUUUGAAAUAAUAAAGUUAUCUUUGUAAAAGCUGUUUCAAAUGUUGUUUCUGAAGAAAUAACUAUGGGACUCAGCUGGCCCCUCAAAUGUUCANNNNNNNNNNNNNNNNNNNNNNNNNNNNNNNNNNNNNNNNNNNNNNNNNNNNNNNNNNNNNNNNNNNNNNNNNNNNNNNNNNNNNNNNNNNNNNNNNNNNCAUUUAGAGAACCAACCCAGAUCGAAACGGAUAUGGAAUUGAGUGAAAUCUACAAACAAAGCAUAGCAGAACCAACAAACCCAUCUGAACUGAACAUAGAUUUCCAACAGAAAACACCGGAAAACACAGGCAACAAUAAACCAGAAACCCAAGACGGUAUUGCCAAUAACAAACUUAGAUCCCAAAUCUGAACAAGAAAAGUAUAAUCAAUGAAAACACAUAACAUCAUAUUUGUGAAACAAAGAUCCUCAAAAUAGAGGACCAAUUAUCCAGAUCAGUUUACCAAAACUGUCAUCAAAUUCGAGUACCGAUUAAAGAAGAAGAUGAAAUGAAGGUACACAAAUCAAAUCCGAAAAUCCCAAGCCAAACUCAUAGACCCGGACAUCCACUUUGAAACCCCAACCCACAGAGACCCUUAAAGUGCUUUUAGUAUAUGAGUUUCUUGUACUAAAUUGGAUGAGAAAGAUGAUGAAACUAUCUUUUAGUAUAUGAGUUUCUUGUUCUAAAUUGAAUGAGAAAGAUGAUGAUUACGAUGAUGGUGCUACGUUAGAGAAAGAAAGAGAAGACUAAAGGUGAAGAUAGUUUGUUUAAUUUGUUUAGGUAUAAGAUAUUAAUAAAUUGUUAAUAUACCAUAAUGUUUGCUUUCAAUAAUUAACAUUCUUUGCCUAACAUAUAUAAACAUUUAUGUAAAUAAUAAUUUAUUUUGAAAAUAUUUUUAAUUUAAAAUGUUUUAAUUGUAUAAUUUUCUUAAUUAUAUUUGUUAUUAAUUAUAUAAAAAAACCAUUUGCUAUUAUUUACAAAAAUAACUAAAUAAAUCUUUUUAUUUUUUAAUUUCUUCCAUGUAUUUUUUGCUAAAGUUUCUGAUUUUAUUAUAAUUUUCUUUCAUUUUCCCCUAAUUUCUUUCAUAUUCCCCUUAAUUUUAAUUAGCAUAUUUUUAGUUUUUAUGUUUUAUAAAUAGCUUAAUUAUAAAUAAAAUUCAUUUGAUAUUAAUUUAAAAAAUAAUUUAAUACAUUUUUCAUUUAUUUUCUUGUUUUUUGGCUAACUUUUUAAAUUUUAUAUUAUACUUUUAAAAAAACUUCAUUUUUUCAUAAAAUUUUCCCUCAAGAUCCACAUAAUCACGACCACGUCGGAUUAUCAUUGCCACAUUAGUUCUUUUUUACAACUCAACAGCUGAUGUGUUCAUUUCCGUCUAAAGUCAAAAGACUUGACAGAUUUUUUAACGUUUUGUAAGAAAACUUAAGUUCAGUGGGCUGACUGUAAGAGAGAAAAAAUUAGUCAGUCAUUUGUAAGUCGACCUAAAGUACAGUGACCAAAAAAGCAUUUAUCCUUUUUUGGACAUGAAGUUAAGUCUCAUGCCGAUACAUACAGUCAUACACUCAUAAUCAUUAUUGUGGACUAAGAACAUAUGGAACAUUUUAUCUACUUGGUGUUUUGGACAAUGAACAGUGGUUAUUGUUUGUAUAAUUAAUUAAUUAUGGAAUAUGGACCAAAAGUAAUACAUUUAAUGAUUCAAAAGUAAAAACAAAAGUAGGUAAUUAAUAUGUUGAUGAAUGGUUUGUUAUUUGGAUCAAUUUUGUCUUAUAUUUUUUAUUUGAUUGUAUUGUGUAAAAAGUAAAAUGGCGGAAAGUUCGGGGGCCGAUAAUUAUGAUACAACUAAGGACCUUAAAAGAGAAGCUAAAUCGAACGAUCUGGGUUGAAAAUAUGGAUAUUGACCGACUAUAAGUAAUAAGGAUGUUGUGCAAUGUAUACUUUGCGGAAAGAAAUGUCAUUCGGGCAUCAAGAGGUUCAAGCAACAUCUAACUGAAAAUUUUGGAGAGGUAGCGAAGUACCCUAAAACAUCAACAGAAAUUGCGAGGGAAAUGCAAGCAUCUUUGAAUAGUAAAGAGAAACAAGCCAGUUGCGCUAGAUGAUGAUGAUGAUGUAGUACAAGUGCAAGAAGAACAAUAAUCUACUCCUCCAAACAUAGCUUCCAAUACUUCCUCCAACACUAUCCCAAGUUUUGGGAUCACUUCCAAAAGGAAGAAAGUUGUUUUUCAAUUCCAAAAUCAACAACCAAAAACUCCAACAAAGACGGUUGAAGCACUUCUAAAGAAGACUCCCGAAGAAGUUAUAGAGAGGCAUAGCAAGCGUUUGAGUCAAACGACUAUUGAAAAUCGUUUAGGGACACCGGAGGAAAAGGAGAGUCCAUAUGCACACUGCCAACUUUUUCUAUGAGUGUGGCAUACCAUUCAAUGCUGCAAAUGCAAUGAGCUUCGAGGUAAUAAUCGAGUCCAUAAGGUAAUAUAGGUCGGGUUUAAAGUCUCCAACGUAUUAUGAGUUGAGGGUUCCUGUACUUGAGAAACAAAGAAGUAAAAUGUUGAGUUAAAGGCGAAACAUGAAGUUUUUUGGAAACAAUAUGGUUGCACACUCAUGUCGGAUGGUUGGACAGAUAGAAGGGGAAGGCACUUGUUGAAUUUCUUUGUUAAUAGUUCGGAGGGGACUUACUUCAUGGGUUCUGUUGAUGCCUCCAGUCAGUCGCAAGAUGUCACAAUGUUGGCAAAUCUCCUUGAUAAUAAGAUCGAGGAAAUUGGCCCCUAGUAUGUUAUUCAGGUGGUCACGGACAAUGACUCUAAUUACAAGGCAGCAGAACAUAUACUAAUAAAGAGGAGGAAUGCAUUGUUUUAGACACCUUGCUCACUGCCCUAGACCUUAUGCUAGAGGACAUAGGCAAGCUGAAGCAAUUUUAACCGACAAUCACAAAUGUAAGAAGAAUCGCAACAUUCAUUUACACAGGCAUGGUCGUCUUUUUGAUGUGAUGAGAGAAAAAACAAAUGCGAGGGAUCUUGUGAGACCCGCAGUUGCUAGAUUUCCUACAACUUUCCUCACGUUGCAGAGUUUGUACAAGCAUAGAUAUGCAUUGAGGCAUUUGUUCAUAAGCGCGGAUUGGACAAAAUCUAAGUUGUCGACAACCGAAGCGGGGAAGAAAGUAUGUGAUACCAUAAUUUCAACUACAUUUUGGCAUCAUGUUGAGAAAUGCAUUAGGGCGUCACAACCACUUCUUAUAGUCUUGAGGAUUGUUGAUAGUCAUGAGAAGCCUGCUAUGCCAGAAGUUUUCGCUGCGACGUAGUGUGCGAAGAAAAAAAUCAAAGAUUCAUUUGAUAAGAAACAAAGACUCUACAAAAAGGUGAUUGACAUUGUUGAGCGACGGUGGGAAAGUCAAAUGGAACAAAAAUUAUAUGGGAUUGCAUUAUUCUUAAUCUGGGCAAGUACUUUAAUAUCAAAAAGGAACGUUCGGAGUUACCUUGCACUCUACGAGAAGACUUCAAUGACAUUCUUGCAAAGAUGGUGCCCGGGCUAAAUUUGCUAGACAAGAUAAGCAAUCUAGCCGAUAAUUAUGAUGCUUCUCGAGAUACUUUUGCAAGAGAAAUAGCGAUUACGCAACAGAAAUUAAAGAAUCCUCGUAAGAAUAUUGAAAUAUAUAUUUAUAUUUCAAUAAAUAUUUAUAUUUAUAUUUCUUUCAAAUGUUUGUUAGUUGAUUGGUGGAGCGCUUUUGGAGGGCGGGCUAUUGAGCUUACAAAGUUUGCAAAAAGAAUUCUAGGUGUUUGUUGUUCUUCUUCCAAUUGUGAGCGCAAUUAGAGUACAUUUGAGUUUGUGAGUACUUUAUAUUGUUGGUUCGAAAGUAACAAGUCAUGACUAAUACUAUCUAUUUUUUAUAUAAUUAAAAUUUUAUCAUUAAUAUUAUUAUUUUAUCUUAUUUAUUUUAGAUUUAUAUGAAGAAGAUGAAUAGAUUAGAACACAACCGAUUGAGUGACUUGGUGUAUGUCCAAUACAAUCGAAACAUUGUUUCAAGGUUCCAAAAGAGGCGUGAACUUGGAAAAAAAUUUGAUCCAUUAGUCUUUGAUGACUUUGUAUGAAUGGAUCAAUAAUGUGGCCGAUGUUGUUCAUCCCGGGGAGGAUCUUACAUGGAAUGAUGUGGAUCGAGCAACCACUGCAUCUAACACGCUUGAGGGUUGCAAUUCUUCAAGGAGGGCUCGUGCUAAUACUAGUGAUAAUGUAAUUACGUACUCUCGACGUGGUGGUGGUUCAACUUUAAGGGAAUCAAGGUUAUGGAUUCUGACUCCAAUGAAAUGAUGAAGUUGAUGAAGAAGAGAGAAUUCCAAAUGAUGAUGAAGAUGUAGAGGAUGAUUUUGGAGAAAGACCACCUAUGCCUUUGAAUGAGAGUAGUUCUCGUGGAGAUGAGACGACUUUGUUCUUGAUAAGUUUGCUUGAACGAUAUUUUGAACGAUAUUUAGAGACUAGUGUAGAGAGUCUAGACAUUAUUUUGGCUUGCUAUGUGGAGUUUUAUUAGUUAUUAGACUAGUAAUCAUAGUUGUUAAGUCGUCGCCUAGGCGACGCCUAAUCGGCAAGUCGGUAAAGAACGGCGACUUGGACACAGCGACGACAACUUGGACGCCUAACUGGAUGAUCGAGCGACUUGGUCUUUAUGGGUCGACCCAAAUUUGAACUGGGUUUUAAAAAAAACGACGUCGCAUGAACAUAAAACUAGCCCUAAAAGAGUCGAUCGAUCGAUCGAUUAGAACUCAGAAGAUCGACCGAGAGUAACGACCUAGAGCAAAGAAGAAACAGAUACUACAAUCGAUCUUUUCUGCUUACUGAGAGCGAUCGAUCAAGAGCAGCGACCGACAUUGAAGAAGAAAUUGAGAUUGAUCGGCACUCGGCAGGUAUGUCGCAUUAUAAUUUUUUCCUUCCCCUUUCCCGAGCAAGGAUCUUUUCUGUUGCUGCUUCUUUCCUCUUCCCCUUUUCUUUUUUUGCUGCCUAUCUUACUAAAAACAUAUGCAUGUUCAAUUUUUUUUUACCCUUUAUGCUUUGUUGUUGGGUCUCUCUCUCUCUCUCUAUAUAUAUAUAUAUAUAUACAUGUUUGGCUCUUUUUUUACCUUAUCAUUCAUUUUUCUUGAGUAUUGAGUGUAAUACUAAUACCUAUUUGGCUUCGACUGUAAUACUUGUUUGGCUUCUUUUUUUCUUAUAAUUCAUUUCUCUUGAGUAUUGAGUAUUGAGUGGCUGACUGGUUCUUAUGUUUCUUGUUUGGCUUUUUUUUCUCCAUAUAAUUCAUUUCUAUUAAUUAUAUUAUAUUCUUUUUUUUAUUUUUUGCAAGUACAUAUUUCACUGAAAGAAAGAAAUUAAUCAAACAUGGAAAAUCAUGAUUGUGAAUUUUUUAAUUAUAUGUAAAUUAGUACUACUAUGCUAUAAUGGAUAAAUGUAUGACUGUUAGUUAUUAUUUUGCCUUUAACUUUAUGGUUAACUCAUCAUUUGGACUAAAUAAUAUAAACUAUUAUUAGUUAUUUGAUAUCACUAUAUAUAUUAUAUAGUAUUAAUAAUGUCAUCAUCAGAGAUAUUUGUGGGUUCAUUAUGAGAUUGUGAAUUCUAUAUAAAUAUUAUAUGGCAAAAAGCACUUUUACCCCACUGUGGUUAUAGUGUUUUAAGCAAUUAGUCACUGUGCUUUUAAAAUAUUCAAUUAGCCCACUGUACUUUUUAAAAAUGUUCAAUCAACCCAUUCCGUCCAAUUUUUUGGACGGACGUUAAAAAAUUACACACGUGGCAUUGAAAAAAAAAAUCAAAAAAUCAUUAUUUCCUACGUGGCAACCUAGUCAGCCAAAUUCUUAAUACUAUUGAGCCACUGCACUUUAAAAAAAAACAAUUGACCCACUGUGGUUUUAAAAAUAUUUUUAUGUUUUAUUUUCUUUCUUUUUCUUUACCUAAAUAUUUAUAAUAUGUAUAAUAUUUUUCUUUCUUUUUCUUUUCCUUUUAUCUCUUUUCUAAAUAAUACAAAUAAUAUAUCAAAAUUUUUGUAUCAAUGAGAUCUAUUACAACAUUAUAUUAAUUUAGGUAAAGAAAACGAAAAAGAAAGAAAAUAAAACAUAAAAAUAUUUAGGUACAAAAAUUAAAAAUUAAAAAUCAUUAAUUACGUGACAAAAAAUAAUUAAAAUAAUAAUAAAAUUAGAAUACAAAUAAAGAAAAUGAAUUAAAAUAUUUAUUUUAAUUUUAUUAUUAUUUUAAUUAUUUUUUGCCACGUAAUUAAAAAAAAAAAUUGUAGAAAUUAAUAUAACGUUGUAAUAGAUCUCAUUGAUACAAACAUUUUGAUAUAUUAUUUGUAUUAUUUGGAAAAGAGAUGAAAGGAAAAGAAAAACCAACGUAGGAUAACCAAAAGUUCCUCCCGCCCAGUCAACAAAUACAUGUAAUAUUUAAUUUUUUUUUUAAAAGCCACAUAGGAUAUUUUUAGAAGUCUGUUAGUCAAAUUGGACGGAAUGGACUGAUUGAACAUUUUUAAAAAGUACAGUGGGCUAAUUGAAUAUUUUAAAAGCACAGUGACUAAUUGCUUAAAACACUAUAACCACAGUGGGGUAAAAGUGCUUUUUGCCAAUAUUAUAUUAUAUAUGUUUUUCUUAUAUUUUUUAUUUGAUUGUAUUGUGUAGACAGUAAAAUGACGGAAAGUUUGGGGGCCGAUAAUUAUAAUAUAACGAAGGACCCUAAAAGAAAAGCUAAAUCGAACUAUCCGGGUUGAAAAUAUGGAUAUUGGCCGAAUUUAAGUAAUAAGGAUGUUGUGCAAUGUAUACUUUAUGGGAAGAAAUGUCAUUCGGGCAUCAAAACUCUCGAAUAACAUCUAGCCGAAAAUUAUGGAGAUGUAGCUAAGUGUCCCAAACAACAACAGAAAUUAUGAGGGAGAUGCAAGCGGCUUUGAAUAGUAGAAAGAAUAACAAGCCACUUGAGCUAGAUGAUGAUGAUGACGUAGUAGUAGAAGUGCAAGAAAAACAAUCAUCUGCUCGUCCAACCAUGGCUUCCAAUACUUCUUCUAAUACUAUCCCAAGUUCUGAGACGGCUUCUAAAAGGAAGAAUGUUGUAUUUCAAUUCCAAAAGCCACAAUCAAAAGCUAAGACGGUUGAAGCACUUCUAAGGAAGACUCCCGAAGAAGUUGUAGAGGAGAGGCAUAGCAAGCGUUUCAGCCAAACGAGUAUUGAAAGUCCUCGUUUGAGGACACCAGAGGAAAAGGAGAGAGUCCAAAUGCACAUUGCCGACUUUUUCUACGAAUGUGGCAUACCAUUCAAUGCUGCAAAUUCAAGGAGAUUUUGAAGUAAUGGUUGAGUCCAUAGGGCAAUAUGAGUCGGGUUUCAAGCAUCCAACGUAUCACGAGUUGAAGGUUCCUUUACUUGAGAAGGCAAAGAAGAAAACCGAUGACUUAAAGAAGCAUGAAGUUUCUUGGAAGGAAUACAUCUGCUCACUCACGUCGGAUGGUUGGACAGAUAAGAGGGGAAGACACUUGUUGAAUUUCCUUGUUAAUAGUCCGGAGAUGACUUAUUUCAUGGGUUCUAUUGAUGCCUCUAGUCGAUCUCAAGAUGCCACAAUGUUGGCAAAUCUAGUUGAUAGCAAGAUCGAGGAAAUUGGCCCUGAAUAUGUUGUUCAGGUGAUCACGUACAAUGCCUCUAAUUACAAGGCAGCGGGGCAUAUACUAAUGGAGAGGAGACCUACAUUAUUUUGGACACCUUGUGCUGCUCGCUGCCUUGACCUUAUGUUAGAGGACAUAAGCAAGUUGAAGCAAUUUCAGCCUACAAUCACAAAUGCAAGAAGAAUCACAGCAUUCAUUUAUAAGCAUGGUCGUCUUCUUAAUGCGAUGAGGGAGAAAACAAAUGGGAGGGACCCGCAGUUACUAGAUUUGCUACAGCUUUCCUCACCUUGCAGAGUUUGUACAAGAAUAAAGAUGCAUUGAGGCAUUUGUUCAUAAGAGAGGAUUAGUCAAAACCAAAGUUGUCGGCUACUGAAGCGGGGAAGAAAGUACGUGAUACUCGUAUUUCAACAAUAUUUUGGCAUACUGUUGAGGAUUGCAUUAGGGUGUCACAGUCACUUCUUAUAGUCUUGAGGAUUGUUGAUAGUGAUGAGAAGCCUACUCUGCCAGAAGUUAUUGCUGCGAUGGAAUGUGCGAAGAUAAAAAUCAAAGAUGUAGUUGAUAACAAACAAAGACGGUAUAAGAAGGUGAUUGAAAUUGUUGAGCGGCGAUGAGAAAAUUAAAUGUAGCAAAAAUUAUAUGGGGUUGUGUUGUUUCUCAAUCCGGGCAAGUACUUUGAUAUCAAAGAGGAACGUCAGGUGUUUGCUAAUGCUUUACGAAAUGACUUCAAUGAUGUUCUUGCAAAGAUGGUACCCGAGUUAGAUUUUCCAGACAAGAUAAGCAAUCUAGCCGACAACUAUGAUGCUUCUCGAGAUACUUUUGCAAGAGAAGUGGUGAUUAGGCAACGGAAAAUUAAUUUUCUAUGUGGUGUUUAUUAAGCAAUCUUCAUUUCUUUUACUAAUUUUUAAUAUCAAGUGUUUUGUUUUUGAAUUGUUAUUGCUAAGUAUUUACAUAAUUACGACUUUAAUGUUAUUCCAUAGUGUUAUGUUUUGAGUUUUAAUAUAUAUGAAAUUUUAUUGACAAUAUACUUGUAAAGUAAAAUAAAUAAUAUAUAAAUUGCACAUUGUAAACGACUCGUCGCCUUACGAACGUCAUGGCGGUCGCCUAGGCGUCCAGGCAGUCGGCUACCGCCAUAACUCAUUGUGGCGCCGUAACAACUAUGCUAGUAAUAUGUAAUUGUUGGUUGUUACUCUAUUUUCUAUGUGGUGUUUGUUGAAUUCUUCAUUUCUUCUAGUAGUUUUUAAUAUCAAGUGUAAUAUUUUUGGAUUGUUAUUACUAAGCAUUUACAUAAUUGCGUUUUUAAUGUUAUUUCAUAAUGUUAUGUUAUUUCAUAUUGUAAACGACUUGUCACCAUACGGAAGCCAUGUCGGUCGCCUUGUCGCCUAGGUGUCCUGGCAGUCAGCUACCGCUAUGACUCGCCGCGACAACUAUGGUAGCUAAAGAAGUUUAAGUAAUGAAGCAACGAAAGUUAGGAGUGUUCAUCGGUAAAAUACCGAACCGGUCCGAACCGAUUACCGAAAGUAUCCAAAAUUGAGUACCGAUACCGGUUGAACCGGAAUACCGGGACGAUUAGCCUGUCCGGUACCAGAUCGGUACCGGUUUUUACCGAAACUUGUACUGGUCUGGCUUUUUAAAAACCCAAAAUUCGGCUAAAGGCCUAGAACAACCCAAGGCUUGGUUUUUAAGCCCAAGGCUUAGUCUUUAAGCCAAAGUUAGGCCCAAGGGCAAGAGCAGCCCAAGACUUGGUAGUCAUUAGUUAAGCUACACUUAGUUGUCAUUAGUAGUCAUUUUAUAAGGAAAACUUCCUUAGACUCUUACCAAUUAACUAAUGUGGGGGCAAGAGCAGCCCAAGACUUGGUAGUCAUUAGUUAAGCUACACUUGGUAGUCAUUUUAUAAGGAAAAAUUCUUUGGACUUUAACCAAUUAACUAAUGUAGGACUUGGAGACCACCAACUAUUAAGGCCUUCACUAAGGACUUCCUACAAGAAUCAAAGGAUAGCACAUUACCAAUAAGUUCCACAUUGUCUAAUAUGUGUUCUCUUAUCUUACCUUUAUUUUAUAAUUAGAGACCACCAAUACAAAGUUCAUAUACAAAGUUCAUCAAGUCCCACAUUGUCUAAUAUGUUUUUUCUUGUGUUACCUCUAUUUUAUAAAUAGAGGAGAUUUUAAGCUAAUUUUACAAGGAUAAGCAAGAAAGUCUAAAGAAAGGGUUUGGACUGGUACAACCGGUUUGGUCCGGUAUAUAACAGACCUAUAAAAUUGCUAACCGGUACCGAAAACUGGUUUGUACCGAACUGGUCCCAAACCGGUUUUCUCUGUCCCGAACCGGCAAGUUCGGAUAUGUCCGGUUUACCUUAAAACCGAAAAUUUUGAACACCUCUAGUUGAAGUUAUAACUAUAACAAGCUGCUGACAAGAAACUAGGUCAUAAAAAGGUAUACUUCAAGGCUAAACAAACUAAAACUACUAAAAAACACCUUUUACAAUAAAAACAAAUAAAUGAAAGUCCAAGAUAAUCAGACACAUACUUUUUUAAAAAAUAUAAUGAAGAAAUAUCAUAUUCAAGUCAUAGAAAACAAGAGGGCGAGAGUUCCUCCAAAAACAGUGGAGAUACAGUUUUCCAUAAACAUACUUAAAUUUUGAAACCAAGGAGGAGCAUCUCACCCAAGCAUGAAUUUCAAGGAUACUCAAAGUUAUAAGGAUAACAAUGCCUUCUGAAAGACAAAAAGGAUGGCCAUACUAACAUUUCUACUUCACAUAUUUCCACAUAUCAGUAAGAUAAGCUUUAACUUGCAUACCAUAUAUAUAUAUAUAUAUAUAUCCAUCUUUACUAACAUUCAAAGGGUAUAUCAGCAUAUUAGCCAUAAACACCCAUAAGGGGAAAAUAAUAGAAAUUUUGAUGGGGGAUAAGUGUCCAACAAAGGGAACCGUAAAAGACAUACCUUGACUGUGUCAUCACUAGAAUGUGCCUCCGCUACAUCACAUAGCUUGCCACUGAUAUAGGAGGCAGUAUAGUUCCCAUCUGCAGUUCCAUAUUCCCCCAAGACCCAACAAAUGACCUGUAACUUAAAACUAACAAUAAGAUAACAAGCACACGAAGUAGGCCUAAAGCAAUAUACACUUGGACAAGAUAUAUACGGCACAGCUGGAACCCAGAUAGGCUGAAUCUAACCUGAAGAAAUGCUGAUGGAAGUUUUGGCUCUCCGAUGAUACGCAAAUACGAUUCCACCUGCAUUAGCAAACAGUUCCAACUCAAAAGAACAGAAAAUAAGACCCCAAAAAUGUUGUACUUAAAAUCAAGUGAUGAACAAAAUCUCGGACAAGUUGACUCCAUCACUGGAUAAGUAGUGUAUUUUGUGGCGCAUUGCCAAUGUGCCAAUAGUGAUGUAAGAUGGAUGAUAAGCAAAUAUCUGAAUAUAAAAAUUGCACAUAGAGCCACUCCUAUUUGUAUAAGAGAUAUGUCAUGUCAUGCAAUAUUACCCACAUUAUAAAUUAAACAAAAGAACAAAAUUUAAUGAAAGUACAUUUAAAGAAAAUUGAAGAUGACUUGUAAGGCCUAAAUUUCUCUCUUCCUUAAAGUAUAGUAAAUUGGCAUAAUGAGGGUAAGUGAUCAUAGCAUUUAGUUCAAUACAUAAUUCAAAAAAGGAAUAAGAAAAAUUAACAUUAUUAGAUAAAUCUCACAUAGUAAGGUUAUAACCAUAAGCCACAAAUUUGUCAAUGCUUUCAACUAAAUUAUAAUUUGAGGCAUAAAGAGGGGGGAGAGGGGGAGAGAGAGAGAGAGACCAUUAUUUGCAGCCACUCAAUGUGUGAUACCCAAAAAUUAUGGUUUUGUGAUAUUAUUGGACCUUUUUUGUUUUUUAUGUAUUAUUUUUUUUGUUUGUUGGGGUGGGGGGAUAUAAACAAGUUUUGUUAAGAUGUAAGAGAGACUACAGAAAGGGACUGACAUAAUCGGGCAGCUGGUGGUGGAGUGGUAAGGAACAGUUGAGGUCAUAUACUUUUAGGUUUAGCUUACGCAAUGUUCUUUGGGGAUGCUACCAACAUGAUUGUUGAGGCUUGUACUCGGAGAGAUGGACUAUUAUGCAAACAGUUUACCUCAAUGUUUUCUCAGUCCAAAUGGAUUCCUUAGCACUUGUUUAUAUGUUAAAGGAAAAUUCAAAGUUCCUUGACACAUAGCUUAUAUUGUUAGGGAAUGUAUAUCUUUGCUACCAAGAUCUUUCCAAAUUCUUCAUGUCCACAAAGAAAGCUAGUCAACCUGCUGAUAGAAUGGCAAUUACGGACAUCAUGUGCCUACCCUUACAGUGCUGCUGAAUGAUAGAACUCUACCUCUGCAAUGUAGACGAGCCAUUGUAGCUGAAAGGAACAGUAGUUCUUUUUUUAGGAAAUAUUGAUACCACUUUUGUAUUCAAAUAUUCGUUUAUGGACAUUGAUAGAGGAAAAGGUUUAGUCCCUCAUCAUUCUUAUUAUUAUUUUGUUAAUAAAUUGACACAUCUAAGCAUGUUAACUAAGCUGUAAUCCAUUUUUCUUUUUUCUCAAAAGUGUUAGCUAAAAAAAAGUACAAGGAGGACAAAAAUCCUCCAUAAUGAAAUACAAGUAAGAAAAUUAAAAAAAAAAAGAAAUGAAAAAAACUAAUGAAGCAAUGUCUUCCAAUAUCUAUGAACAUCUCAAAUAGUGUCGAUCCCCAACAAUUUAAUUAGAGUUUAGGUCAUUUUGGGAAAGAAGUAACUAAUAGUAGUCUCUAGAGUCAGCAUACUCCAUGUGAGUUAGUUGUUAUGGGGAGUAGAAUGCUCUAGUAUAAAUAUGUAAAAGAAUGAUGUAUUCUUAUGAUUGCUGAAUGCAAUGAAAUACUGAGAGAAACUCAUUUGAGCUCUUCUCCCUUCCCGUAUUUCUCUCCUUUUCCGCCCAUUCUUCUCCUCCAAAUUCUGUUUCAGUCUGGCUUAGGCCCUAAUCUAUCCAUUUUAGUUUGCUAAAGACCUUGUGGUCCAGACAGAUAGCAACUCCUCUAAAAGCUCCAAUAGCUGAAGCUCAAAACUAUACUAGAAAUGAAACCCUAUCGCACAGAAGAGGAGAGAUUGGUAUCAUUGAAAAUUCAAUCAUUCCUAUCAGUACUCAUUUCAGUCCAUAUGCCUAUAAAACAACAAAACAAGAAAAAGAAUUGGCAUCGUUGUGCUUCCCAAACCAAGAACACCUCCAAAGAAUCUUGGCACCCUAAUUCUUGUAAGACAAGUAACCUAAAUACGGUUACCGAAAUCUAAUUAAAUUAUAAAACCUAUACUGAAAUAUACUUGCAUAAAAGAAGUAAAACUUCAUCCUAAUUAUAAUGAAUUAUUUAAGAAAUAUGACAUGUAAAAUUAUAGCUCUUUUCCCUAUCAUGUGUUUUUCCUUUUGCCAUGUACCGUCAGUAUAAAAAUAAGUACAGAAACAACAAACUUCUAGAAAAUAUCAUAAUGCUAGACAAAAAUGUAAAAACAUGCAACCAACGUCAGAUAAAUAGUUCAAGAAAAAAUUGAUAAUCACUGAGAGGGAACUGUAUGAAUUAGAACCAAGUGAAAGUUGUUAUGAUAACAUACAGCAGAUGAUCUCAGCUGACUAUCUGCACAAUCAUCAUCCUCACUAAAUCCUUCUGCAAUCAACCUCAUUAAGUUAUGGGCCACCUUAACAUUUACUAAAUCGCCCGCAAGCUCAAAGACUUUAUUCAUGGUCUGUAGAGUAAACAAGUCAGAAGAAGCUGGCAACUGAAUGUUCAGGAAGCAUCUAUACGAUGUUAUCACCAAUGUCUCAAAUAUAAAUGGCAAUAUUAAAUUACCUGGAUAAACCAAUGGUUGCUUGGUGCAAAUUGCUCUGCAAGCUCGACACACCUUGAUGCUAUAUCGGUUUUGUAAUGAUUAUCAUUAAUGCUUAUCAUGUAAUCAAUCAUACGAUCCACAAUGACUUCCACAUUGGAGGACUUCGUCAUCUUCUACAGCAGUUCAAAGGUUUUUCGCUUCAGAGUAUCAUCUGGAUCCUGUACCAUGAAGCAUGUCAGACUUCAAUACUAUAUACAUGUAUAUAAGAAAAACAAGUUGUUAGUACAAAUACUAUCUAAUGAAGAUCAAUUCAGAAGAAAUGACAAAUUUAGAAGUGUAACGAGCAAGAGGAAUUUAAUAUGCGCCAUCGAAAUGGCCUUAACAAAACAAUACUCAAAAAAUAAUUAACAUCUUACAUUCAGUUACUACAAGACCAGACAUACAUCAAGCUCUAUCCUUUUCCAAUUCAUUUACUUAUAGGUAAGUUUGGUCCCCAAGUAUGGGGACUGGUACCAGUGAGCUUGAGGUUAUUCUUCAAGGCCUUUGCCAUUUCUCCAGCCCUUAAGUUUUACCGAAUCAUUUACUUAAGCAGUUUAGAGAACAGUUAUCUAAUACUAAAUCUAUCGACCGUGAAGGUAUUAUUGACUACAGUAGGAUGUUGUCUAAUCAAAGACAGAAGCCGAAAAAGAUUUGAAGAACUAAUUGACACUGCUUCCAAGUUUAGUAUGUGUAGCAUCUUCCUUCAAUGGUUGAAAGAAUAUAACCUUGCUUUGCCAUUGGAACCUUUCUAGAGAGGUACAAGCUAAUUUUACUGUGAAUUACUGAAGCAGUAUAUUAAAAACUAUAUAUUGGUGCCACUGAAACUAGGCCUAUUGUCUUAAAAAUUUUAUAAAGGUGGUUAAUUUCUUACGAAGGUAUUAAGAGUGCCAGAUCUUUCCAAAUGAGUCCAGAAUGUUCACUUCAGGAUAGGAGUCUGAGUGUGGCCAUGACAUGAGUUUCUCAAAAUAACACCUUUAACGGGCAUACGAAAAUCAUAAUCAUAGUUUAGCUUCCACUAGAGGAAUGACAUAUGAUUAAUUGAACAAGAAAGUUGUGUCUAAACUCUAAUGUGACCUCAGUAAAUUUGUACUACAUUAGUUUAGAUCCAUUAAAUUCAUCUACUCCAAACCCCAGUAACCCAAAGCUCUAUAGCUCGACUAGAGUGGUAGCUGAUAUUAAAAUUUUAUCUAAGUAUGACCAAUUUGCAGACCUACUCUAGGAGCCAGUUUUGAGCAACAGCAAGGCAUCCUUCAAAUUCUUAAAAGAUGACACCUUAGAGCAGUUGAUUAGAAGAUACAAAUUCUAUAUUCUAGGCAUUCAGAAUUUCAGAUACAAGUUAAGAUUUCUUUUAUUUUUCUAAGAUAAAAGAAAAAGAUUUUAUUAGAGAAGUAAGAGAGAUUACAAAUCAAAAGGACAAAGGGUCCUAGAAAGGGGGGGGAAUCAAAAGAAUACAAGUUGAAAACAUCAUAAUCUUCAAAGGAGAGCAGCCCACCAUUAUAUAUGCAGAUACAACAAAAGAACUUGAUGAAUACCUCAUUAGAAAAGCACAAAGGAGGUAAGAAAAGGCACAGCAUCCAAUGCAAGGGAUAACUCGUUAAUCUACCACAAAAUCCUUAAUACCACACUAUCCAAUGUCCACACACCCCAAAAAUAGUACACCCCCAUCAAAACUGAAUAUUCCUCCCUUCAUACCUCCCAAAGCUUGGUAAGCAGACGCUGGUGCAGAGUAUGACAGACCAAAACUCCCCAACAUUUCAGACAAAGAACAUAUUGCUUAUGUAUUGUGGGUUCACUUUUGAGGGUUUGGAAGGAACAAGGGGCCAAAAUGCUUUGCAUGCGUGGUUUCUUCUCUAUUUUUCGGGGAUUCAGAAUGGCCUUAAUGCUUGACUCUUCAUGAGAGCUAUUUAUCUUGUAAUUUGUUAACAUAUAAAGUGAUGUUUCUUGGACCAUUACAGGUACAUGCUAUGGGAUCCUUCAGAGGCAUUUGUGUCGAGUUAUAUUGAGCUUGGAGUACUGAACUUUAGUAAGUGCUUGUUUUUGUUUCCACUUGUUCCUGAAUGACUAGCUUGUGUUGUCAAACAUAAGUAACCAUAGAAAGAUCUUGAGUUGUCAAAUAUAACUAGCUUUUCCUGACUUCCCCCAAAUAAGAUUCUUAAUAAAAAAAAAAGUUACGCCUAAAAAAAGAAUUGAAAUGAAAAAAGGUUUUGUGAUUUUCUUCUUUAAACAAAUAAUUAAUAAUCUAUAAUCCCCAAUGCCAUGGAACAGCAAAACCAAUACCGUCCAGAAGUCCUGAGCCACCUUACAAUGAAUCAAUAAAUGGUUUACAUUCUCUUUCACUUUUUUGCACAUAUUACAUAUCAAUUCACUAAUUUCUUAAUCCUCCUCAGGUUAUCAAUAUCAACACAAAAAUGUUUUGUGGUUUUCUUUUGCUUUUAACAAGUAAAUGAAUCAACUAUGAUCCCCAAUAGGACAUGAAACGGUGCAACCAAUACUGUUCAGAAGGCCUGAGCCACCUCAUAAUUCAGCAAUAAAUUGGUUUAUGGUCUUAUUUACCUUCCUUUUUGGAUAGGCCAAGUAAAUGAAUCAAUUACAGUCCCAAAUAGUACAUGAAAAAGAACAACCACCUCACAAUUAAGCAAUACAUGGUUGCAGUCAGCCUUUUUUUUCUUUUUUCUUUUUUUUUGCACAUAUUACUCUCUUUUGCACAUAUGACAUCUAUCACUGAUCUCAAAUUUUCCUCUUUAAAAUUAAUAUAAGCAGAUAAGAUAGACUCAAAACAUAUUCUCCACAAUAUACUAACUACGCAUAGCAUAGUGAGUUCUAAGAAAACUGUCAUAAAUUUGGAGUUACAAUAUUUAAAGCAUGACACUUCUGAAAUGCCACUAAUCUUUAUUGAUUCCAAAAUCAUGUAUGGGGAAAAAGUAUUUCCUCUUUUUUUGACGAAAGGAGAUAAUAGUUAGAAAUGCUUGAGAUUCAACUAUAAAAUGAAAUUCACAAAAAUCAGUACAUCUUUUUUUGAUAGAUUAGAAGAAUAAAGAGAAUACAAGCAAUAGGGGGACAACGAGUCCACCCACCCUAUAACAAGUGGACAUAAAAGCAGAACACUCUAUAAAGAGCAACUCUCCAAUCUCUACAAAGAUUGGAUGCAGAAAUACCCUAAAUAAAGAAGCAAGAAAAGGAAUCCUAUCUAACAGAAGCAUUACACUCAUUGCAGAUUCCCAAAGCAUGGAAGAAGUUGCACACUUCCAAAGAUCAUUGUAUCGAUCCCAGCUAUGAUUAAAAAUAAGAAUCAAUCAUAAAGUUUUUUACUAAACCCAUGGGGCAUUCAAACUAUUUACACAAAAAUGGGGAACUUUGGAAUUAUAUAAGAAAACUAUAUAAGAAAUGAAAUUUUUUAUUUUUAUUUCUAGAAAUAACUUCAAUGGCUAGACACGCAAAAUAGUUUCAAAUCUUCACAGUAAAUAGUUUGAAAUGGUACAUGGUGGAAAAAAAACAUAUGAAUCACAUAUAUGGGCCAGAGCAUUGUUCAUUCAAGAAAAUGACCGAAAAUGUAGCUCAUAUCUCAAGCUGAACCAGUCAGAAAAUGGGAAGAAGCCAAUAUAAAGAACUCAGUGUUGAAAGGAUAUGUAAGAAAAUAGGAUGGGAGACUACAGACACACCACGCAUAAACAAAAAAAAACACAGAGAGAGAGAGAGAGAGAAAUGAUGGGUAUUUCUGCAGCUCCAAUAGCUACACCAACCCAAAGGGUGGUCAUUUCAAAGUCUGACUAUAAUGUCUCUCACCUUUCACCUCAUGUCCCAAGCUGAACGAAUCAGCAAAUCGGACAGAAAGCCAAUGUCAAAGUAAUCAAUUUAAAAAAAUUGAUAUAUAAGAAAUGAUGGAAAAUUAUGAGCACUCCCCAGCAUAAACAAAAACAAACAGAAAGGGAUUAUAAUGUCCCUCACCUCUAAACAGUCAAUUACAGCAAGUUGGUGCUGUUCAGCAAUCUCUGGACUUAUCUUAAUCAAUCGACCAAGUGCAUCAAUACCCAUAUACUUCAGAUUAUGACUGUCACUCUGCCCACGAAAAGAAUUUAAAAAUCAGUCAUCAUAUAAAUAUAUCAAAAUAAAAAUCUUUUCAAGUACAAAUGCCAAAAUACAUGGACAGUUUAGUAGGAAAAAACCUUCAAAAAUUUGGAAAUUGCAUCAGCUGCAGCUUCCAAUAACUUAGGAUUGGGAUGUACGGAGGAAACACAGCAUAUGCACUCAUAUAGAAUGGCAUUUCCUAUAUUGCUCGUUGUGUCGGACUUUCUCAUUAUGUCACCGACAACAGUAUACAUUUGUUCACUGGCCUGCUUGUCCCCAUUGCCGAGUACUGCCAGUAUCUUCAGCAACUUGAUCUAUAUAAAGAGAAAAAUAAGAUUUUUUUCAAUAAAAAAAUAAUCAAAAUAUAUAUUCCCCUUAUAAAGCCAAUGCAAAUUAUGUGCAUGUUGUAAGUUUUGGAGUAACAAAUCGUAUCAAGUAGACACUAGGCAACACAUAAAAUAAUCUAAAAACUUUUUUCAGUUUAAAGAAAAAUCCUAUUGGAGUAGAAACAACAUCCGCAAAAAGGGGAGAAUGACAAAGUAAAAUCCUCUGAACCAAAAAACUGGAAAAAUACAAAACCCUUAAGUAGGCAACCUUCCAGUCCCUCUAUAAAUCAGAAAUAGACACCCUCCACCCCGACCCCACCUCAUUGAAGAAGCCCACAACGAAGAAUGAAAAGUGACCAAGUCCCAAAUAAUAUUGAAGGACAAGAAGCUCAAAAGAAGUAACCACCUACUAUUAAUCAAAAAAUUAUUCCCUACAGUGCAGUCCAUAACAAUGGUGAAAAUUUUAAAAGUUUAGGCAAAUGGAGACCUUAAUCUUGCCAUAACAAUGUCAUGUACUUAAAACUUCUCAAACGCCAACUCUAAUAACUUCAGUACCACUUUUAGCAAUCAAAAUUUCCUAAAAUAGAGCUUAAAUUAGUCGUCUUUAUAAAUUUAGAAAAUCUUGUUAUACGUGAAUUGCUUUAAGUGCAUCUAAAGUUAUGUAAUUUUUAAUUAGAUUAUACUUUUAAUUCUAGAACUUUCUAUGUCAUUUUGCAUAGAAGUUUUGAACCAAAAUGUUUUUGUUGAAUAGAAAAAUCUUGAAACAUAAUCCAAUUCUUGAGUUCUAGUCCUAAAGCUUGUUUGAUAACUUGCUUAAGUCUUAAAACUGAAAAUUUAAGUGUUUUUUAAAUUAAGUUUGUUUGAUAACUAUUUCUGAAUAAAUAAGUAGUUUUUGAAAAUGAUCCCAGAGUUUUCAGCCACACAAAGCUGGCUUAACACUGAAAAUUUAACAAGCUCAGCUAGCCCAUUUAAUAUAUAUAUAUAUAUAUAUAUAUAUAUGUUAUGGGACUAAUUUGACCUCAAUUCUUCUCCCUUAUCUGUAACAUUCCACCGUUUAUAAUUCUUGAGUUUGCCGAUAAAGUUGAUCCCAUCUUUCAUCAUCUUCUUAUUGUAAUGUAUAUUGUAUUGAGCUUUUAAGGUUCCAUUUUCAAUAAAAAUUUCUUACUUUUGAUUGAUUUGAUGUCAUGGAAUGAUGGAAAAGUUCGAUUAUCCUGGGUAGAAUUAUGAAGAUUCCUUAAUUGAAUGUGGUCUAACAAACUGCAAUCCCAAAAAAACGUUUUGCCCAAUUCCAUUCCAAAAUCAUUCAUAUAAGAUAGAAAAUAGCCUAGAUCUUUUGAAUAAUUUAGUUUGCCUACAAUUGUUAGUGAAAUGUAAUCUAAGGCAUGGCUUAACCAAGCUUGGCUAAGGCUACAUAACAAAACGAUGUAGUUUUAUAUGAAAAAAAUACAAUUAAAGAUUUUUUAAUAUAAACCCCAAAAAUGGAAAGCUUAACCCCAAGNNNNNNNNNNNNNNNNNNNNNNNNNNNNNNNNNNNNNNNNNNNNNNNNNNNNNNNNNNNNNNNNNNNNNNNNNNNNNNNNNNNNNNNNNNNNNNNNNNNNUUAUUAUAUGCUUAUAUAUAUAUGCAGCAUGUGGAGUAUACACACACACACACACACAUAUAUAUAUAUAUAUAUAUAUUAAAUUUUAUUAAUAGAAAAGAAAGGAUAAAAUAAAAAGGGGAACAAGAAGUCCACCAUCAAUCGAGUAAAAAAACAAAAAAUAAAAAGCGAGCACUUUAAAAGAGUGAAACCCUCCAAUCUCUACACAAUUCAGUCAUAAAGAUGUCUCAUACAUCAUACAUGUAUAUAUAUAUCUUAGAUUGACCAAAGAUAAGGUGUCUUAGAUCAUUUUUAAUAUAACAUUAUUUGUCGUCAAUUUAAUAAUCUAACCGAUGUAAAGAGCAUGUAAAAAUAUGAGAAUAGGUAAAAAUUUAUUUGAUUUGAUGUUAUGCAUUAGCAACAUUAUAAAAGUAGAAGUUACUAAAAUCUAAGUUAUUACAUAUUAUUAAUCUUUAUGACUUUUGUUAGGCUUGAGCACUAUUGUUAAGUGUGUGCCUAGGCGCGAGGCCCAUCCCAGCAAACUUUAGGACCCUCUCCUAGCCUGAGGCUAGGUUCCUUCAAUGAAGCGCACUCGAGGUGCGCAAGACUCAAAGUUAAUUUUAUUUUUUUUAUCUAAGCAAUCUUAACCAUCAAUUAUAGCCACUCGACGUAAGAGGCGUGGACCUCAUCAAAAUUGUGUAAUUUUAUUUUUUUCCCCGAAGCAAUCUAGACCAUCAAUUGUAGCCGCAUCCUCUAGGUAAGUCUCUCCUUUUUCCUUAUCUCUUCUCCUUUUUUUUAAAGGGUAUUUUGCAAAAUACUAAGGAGUUAUGUUGCCUAAUUUUUUUCAGAAAUUUUGGGUACUUUACUACACUACUAUUAUAGUGUUUACUAACCUAUUAAAUAAUUAAAUGUGUAUAUAACUUAUAAGUAUUUUUUUUAAUACUUAAAUAUGCAUUUAUAUUGUUGUUUAGUGUGUACUACUUAAAUAUAUAUAUGACUGUAAGUAUGUAACAAUGCAUUUAUGCAUAAUGUAAUUAUGAUAUGAUUAUAACAAUGUAUCACUAUACUACAUAGGUAUGGUCCUUAAAUUUGUUAUAGACACUUUUUGAACAUCCUUAAAGGUUUGUAAACUUACUUAAUGGUUGAUAAAUUUGAUACAUAAAUGAUUAAAUGUGUAUAUAUAUUUUUAAUUUUAAAAAAAUAUGUGCGCCUCACUUCGAUAAGACGCUCGCCUCACGCCUUGGCCCCAAGGAGGGCUUGAGGAAGUUCUUAAUAAGGUAUAAUGAAUGUGUGUUCUAAUAUGGUCAUGUAGAUAAACAUUAAUAUAUAUCAUCUGUUAUUAUGUCUUUAGAUUAAAAAAGUGACACGUCUUAGGUCAUUUACUCAAAACCUCUCCUACUCCCCCCUCAACCCUAAAUAUUAUUAAAUGUAGUUCCCAAAAAAAUGAAUCAUAACUUCUUUUUAGAAAGAAAAACUUUAUAUCCUAUUCAAGAAAUAAAAAUUUACAGCUCACUUAUAACACUUUAUAUCCUAUUCAAAAGAAAAAAUAGAUUUAGAAUGAAAGAAUUAAAUUGCUUUAACUUCUUUUUAGAAAGAAAAAAUAAUAAAAGAGGAUGAGAUAUCAUUCAAGACAGAAAAGGGGGAAAGUACAAAUACCUUACACCCUGUUUGUGAGUUUUUAGGGUAAGGAAUCAUAAGGAUCUUUAACUUUAGAAGAUAGGAUAUGUUUUUAGGGUAAGGAAUCAUAAGGAAUUUUAACUUUAGAAGAUAGGAAAGGAAAUAAUAGGAAAGCUUCCAUAGUUUUGUUUGUGAGUUCAAUAAGUUUCGAUAGUUUUGUGUUUUGUUUGCGAGUUCAGCAAGGAAAAUAUGAUAAUUAUCCUAUUUAUAUUUGUGAAUUGGUAAGGAAAACAAAGGUAAGUUAUGUUAUAAUAUAAUUACCAUUGUACCCAUUGUAAGAGGGUUGACAAGUAAAUGUUAAGGGACAUGGUGGUUAAAGUUUUCUAGAUAAGAGCAGUAACCAGAUAAAAAAAAUUCAUUAAAUCCAUUUUCCUUUCCUAGAGUUUUCGUGGAAGAUUUCAAAGGAAAGUUGGGCUUAAUUUUCUGAGCUUUCCUUAGCUUUCCCAACUUUAAAUACUCAGAAACAUAGGAUUUCUACAACUUUCCUUAGCUUUCCUACUCUUCCCUUGGUUUUAAAAACUCAAAAAUGAGAUCUACUUGUAUCCAAUCAAAAGACACUAACGAAGACUUAAUGAAGGAUUAUUAUUACUCAAUCCGCUAUAAUCCAUGUGACUAAUUUGGUGGCAAAUGCUUUGAGCAGCAACAGUAAGGAUAGUGUAAUCAUUAUCUUUCAAUAACUCUAGUAAUCUUUUGUAUCACAUUUUUUAGUUCCUUGUACGUGAGCAAAUAUUUUAGGUAAAGAUUAAUCAAAACUUUCACUUACGAAGGAAAUAGUUUAAUAAGUUAUUUUUCUAAUAUUAUAUAGAAAAUCAAAAGGGUGCAUGCACAAAAAGGAAAUUAAAAAACAUAAGUAUAAUCUUGUCUGUAUGCAAUUCAGAGCAGCUUGUUUCGGAUCGAGAAACCAAUGUGGGCACACCAGACUUAAGCUAAAACGUAGUACGCUAGGAUAUCUUUAUACGAGUGCUUAUAGUAAAGACUUUUUUAGAAUCUAAAUGUGUAAUACUUGCGAAUUUUAUAAAUAAUAUUAAUAUUGAGAAUAAUAAUUGUGUGAAUAUUUAUUUGAAUAUAAAUAUAUAUAUUGGUGGCAUGAGUUUGUGAUCAUUCAUUUAAUUGAAUAAGUAUAUGAUAAUUGAGUAAUAUGGUGGAAUUGAUGAAGAGCUUAAUUUAAAGCCUAUGAGAACUGUCUAGUGUGGCAUAAUGAAAGACUAAGAAAUUCAUUAAGUAAAUUAAUGAAUGAAUGAGUUAAUAAUGAGAGUAAUUAGUAUUAUUACAUUGAUGAGUAAAUAAUUAAAUAAUGUGAGAUUAAUUCCUAUCGUUAUUAAUUAUUUGCUGUGUGUAAAUUACAUGUAAUGUGAGGUCAUAUAUUAUACAGAUUCUUCAUUCAUUAAAUAAUAUAAGGUGUGACAUUAAUAUAUGAAUGAUUAUUAGAUGGGAACAUGUGAUAUAAAUGAAUUAAAUUCUAUAAUUUACUAAGUUGCAAAAAGUAGCUUAUGUGACAUUUUGAUGUGUGGUGGGACAAUUAAAUGAGUAUUUUAAAUAUAUGGGAGGAUAUAAAUUUAAGUGAAUAAAUAUUUACUAUUAAAUAUGUAUUUCAAUAAUUAUGUGUAAUUAAAAUAAUAAGUUUAUGAAAAUAAUGGGAUGAUAUUACCCAACUAAAUUAUAUUUAAAUAUUAUUUAACCCAAUGUACAUGGAUUAUAUGAUUAUACGUAUCUCCUAACUUAUCACAAGGUACUAAUAAUAACACAUUAAAGUUGACCUUGUGAGCCAUAAGGGAAAUAAAACCUAAGUAAACUAAUGUCAUUCUGCAAAUGCUGAUAACUAAAUCAAUUGUCCCAAAUUAAAUGGCCCAACAGUGCAUAACAGUAGCCUAUUCCGUCAUUACGUGAACUCAAGGGGGCUAGAUAGCUGAAAUUGAGAGCUAGAAGGAUGGAGGGGGAGUGGAUGAAUUCUUUUCACUAAAUCCUCUCAAUCCAUUGGAUUCUUCCUCUUCCCUUUGGUUUGAUUCAAUGAGUAAGGCCCAAAUUUGGGUAUUGAAUCUUCUAUAUAUAGCAGCCUCCUCUUUUCAAUUUUCUCUGCUAAAGAUUGUUGACAAGUCCCUUAUAGAGAGUAAGUUAUAAGUAGAGUGAACUAUCCGAGUUGGAGACAAGGAAUAUCAAUUUAAGCUUCAAGAGGUAAUAAUCAUGUUCUAUGUUCUUAAUUUCCAAGUUGGUAAAUUUCUAGAAUUUUAAUAAAAUCUUUGUGAAUUGGCUUGGAAGUUGUUAACAUGAUGUUAGUUAAGUUUAUACGUAUGUAUGAUAGUAAUGUAACUGAUUUUAAGCAUGCUAAAGUAAAGAAAUUUGUGUUUGGUUCUGAGUUCUACCCAGGAAGGGCGCAGCUGCGCCCUGUCUGCUGUUCAAAACGGCGCAGCUGCGCCAUGGACCAGUCAUAAAUUCCAAUUUUUGUUGUGAUCUAAUGAACUUAGCAUGCUAGUUUAACCUAAAUAUAUCUGAAAAUAGUUCAAAAUGUGGUUUGGGGUCUCUUUGUGCAAUAUAAGUUGCUUUAGGUUGUUUAACGUGUAUAUUUUCUAAAGAAAACUUAGAAUAUUGAAAAUGAACCUUAAUGAAACUUGUGAUGUCUAAGUUCUGACCUUGUUAGCAUGCAUACCUGACCUAACUACAUAUGAAAUGUGAUUCCAAAAUGCUUCGUGUGUGAUAGUUUAUCUUGACUUGGUUUAAAAUGAUUUCAAAAGGCAAACUCGAACAUUUUUGCAAACUAAGCUUUAUAAAACAUGGAGUGGUUACAUUCUAAACUUUAGAACAUAGAUGAUAAGACUCCUUAUGUCAUUAAACAUGACCUACAUGUGUACUCACUUAGUCAGGUAUGUUACGAACUAUUCAAACAUGAUUUUAAACACAUUUUCAAGUGAUAAACUAUAUGAGUUAUGAAUGAAUAGAUUUAAUGCAUGCAAACAUGUGUAUCACAAAUUAUAUAACAUCCUUGCGUGAUUUAAAUGGUUAGAUAGUUAAGGUGGUUAAUUUUUUUUAUUUCGUAAACUUAGUUGGCCUUAAUUCCAUUGAAACUCCAAUUAGUAUCAUAAUGUGUAAAUAUGAACUAGAAAUGACCGUAGUAAAACCCAACGCCCUUUAACAUGUGUAUAUGUUAUGUGUUCAUAAUCAAGUAUGCUAAGGAAUGAGACAAAACCAGGAAGAGCAAAGCUCAGCUCUGAUCUGGCCAGACAGCGCAGCUGCGCCGUCCCUAAGCCUAACUGGAGCGUAGCUGCGACAUCCCUAAGCCUAAUUGGAGCGCAGUUGCGCCCUCCUGUAGUUUUGUCUGACUGUUUUAUUUGUGAUCUGAAACUUGUAACAUGCAUAUAAUACUACAUUAAGUCAUAAUACAUGAUAACCUUGAUGUUUAAAGUGUUCUAAGGCAUAAUGGCUAUGUGGUACCAAGAAUCUAAAGAUUUUUAUAAACUUUCUUAAUAUUUUCCACAAGCUAAGUAAAUGGUGGUUAUGUAACUACGCGAGGUGAUAGCAUACCAAUGUGUCAUUUCAUUUGAGUUAUUAAGAUAGAAAUAGAUGUAUACCUUCAACUUAUGUGAUCGAAUAUGUAUGAGGUUGUAGGUUUAUGGAAGUUUGACUAACUAAUAAAUACGUUGGUUACAUAACUACGAUAUAAUAGGAUUUUCGAAGUGUUGAAAAGCUAUAGAUUGGUAAACUAUGCUUAAGGCAAGUUCCCUAACUUCAUUCUUAUAUUGAAUGCAAGUAUAUAAACCUUAUCUCAUAUUGUGCAAACUUUGAAUCAUUGUUAUACCAACUAUAUCCAUAUUGAGCAAAUUUCUAUAUUCGUAUGAAUCGUUAUUCAUAUUCGAAAAUUUAUUAUAUAUCUUGAUUCAUGUUGCAUUGAACUUAUUGUUCCAAAAUAUAUUGUAAAAGUUGUCUAAGCCAUUAACUCCGCUAGACUAAUAUCAUGUGUUAGAAAAUACUCCAAACCAAUUGUCUUGGUACAGAAUCUUAUAAAUCUACUGAGAUGAACAACCCUCAUUGAAGGGAAAAAUUUUAUAUUAUCGAGGAACCGACGUGCGCACAAACAACAUGUUUAAAUGUUAUGCAUAACGUAUGGUACUUCAGGCUGAUCACCUACUAUUGUAUUUGUUUAUAUUGGAUUAUCGGUUUAAUACUGUUAAUUUUAGUAGAAGUUCUUGGUCCAUAACGACUACUCAGUGUUGAAACCUUUGAAUUCUUUUAAAAUCUUUCGGUCUAUAAUGAUUCAUCAUUUAACAUUUAAAGGACAGUUUUGAAGUUAUUGACAUUUCCUUGUUACAACAUUAUUCCUUAACUCUCGAGUUAUCCUUGAUUAAUAUACCUUUGAACUUAUUAAUUUUAUAUCAGGCCUGUUCACCCUUAUUGUUAUAUACUUGUUGGGCAAACUUGUUGCUCAUUCUUACUUUCUUUAAACUUUUCAGUUAAGGCAGAACGUGGUGAAGCCUCAGGCAAAGAUAAGAGAAAGCGCAAAUCUAAGGAUUAGCUUAAGUCCUUUGUGCUAGAAGUUUAUGUUUAAGCUAUAAUAAAACUUAUUUAAUAUUAUGUAUUAAGUAUGUUUUAAGUUGUGAUGUACUAGUAACGGUUACGAAACCUUGGGACAAGAAUAUUUAUGUUAUAACAAUGUAAAUUAUUAUAUUAUUCCGUUGUGUGAGAUUUUGGUAUGUUAUUAGAGUUAGAACGUGAAGUAUCGAAUUUGAGUUAUAAGUGUCUGAAUUUGGGGUAGUCACAAAAUGCACUAAAACUAAGCUUAUAUAAGAUUUUUAGCUGAAAGUGAAGUAGAUUGUUCUAUAAAUAAUUUAGUACAAAUUUAAUGUUCGAGUAAUUUGUGCAACUAUAGGUAAAACAACAAAGAAAAAUUUCAGUACACUAAGAAUACCAUGUUUGGGAAUCCAAGUACUGAUACAUGGUUUGCUAAGUCAAUAAGACUAUCUGAUAACUUUAAUGUAGAUACUCUUUGUAGAUCCCAUAAAAAGCUUAUCCAGUGGGAACUCUAAGCUUUUGGUGCUAUGUAAUUAAUGGCCAAACUAGAAAAAACAUGUUCCAAGUCCAGCAAUCAUACAUCAAUUAUAAUGAACGUUAGAGGUCGCAGGAAUUAAUCACCAGUUUUUGCUCAGUGUAGUCAUGAAACAGUAUCAUUUCUACCAGGUAUCAACCCUUAAUAGAACUUGUCCAAAACAAAAGUUAAUCCUUUUAGUUUCUAAAGCAAAAGAAUCUAUCUUGUUCUUCUUUGUGCAAAAGACUUUAUAUAGCUACAAAUUUUAACUGGACAGAAGUAAAAUGUUUACAUACCUGAAUGAACGGAGCAGGCAUCUGAUGAUAAUCAUAAGUCUUUGGCAAUCUACGCUCAGCUACUUGCUUAAGAAUGCUUACAAAGCUGACAACUAAAUCCUUAUAAGAAUUAACAUCUAUUGUGAUAAGAUCAAAAAGCGGGCAUAGGGUCGCACCCAUGACCCCAGGAUCAUUAUCACACAGCCUCUGCAAAAAAAUAUUUCACAAAUAAAUUAGAAAAUCUUUGUUUUAAAAGGAGAAAUUUAAAAACCUUUUUAUAGAUAAAAAGAAAAUUAGAAAAUUUUAGUCACAAGAAGAGAAGAAACAUUGAAACUAUAUUAUCUCUUAUAAACAUAAAGGAGAAAUAUAAAUUAGUAAAAAAUAUAAGCGAAGAACAUCUGUAUGUUUUCCUAUUUGAAAAUACGUAAGCCCUUGACUAAUCAGAAUUAGCCGGUUAAACAGCUUGUCAACCAAGGCAAAGUGAAUGAAGAUACUAAAUCUCAAAUAAAGUCGAGUCCACAAACAGCCUGUAAAUAUUAUUUACACAACUCAAAAUAAAAAAUAUAAACAAAUAAAUAAAUAGAGAGCCUAAGUAUAGCAUUACUUAUAAAUUCUAACAUAAAUAAAAUAAUUUACAAGAAUCUACACAAAUGGAAUAAAUUUGCUUACAGGUAACCAAAUGGGGAAAUACAAUUUCCUCUAGCGGAUAGCUCAUAAUUAGGAGCAUUAGAAAAGCCAACAUUUUUAGCUUAAUUUAAUAGCAACAACAAAAUAAAAAGUUUAUGUAAUGUAGUAACAAUAAUUUCACGUGUAUGGAUAAUUAACCAUCUCAAGACACUAAAUAAUCAAAAUCAGCUCUUCAUGUGUGCUGUUCUUGCUAUCGCAAAAGCACUGGAUUAUAUAAUAAUUGGGUGAGUUCAAUUUCCUAUUGUAACCACAUCAUUAGCAUGUAUUAUUAUGGUGUGCCAAUAGGUUUCCUCCAAAGUUAAGCAUUUCACUUAUCAUGGGUACUGAAUACGCUACUAGCCUACUAUUAAUUGUUAUGCUGCAGGUACUGAUAGGUGUCAUAUAUGCAGCAAGAUAGCCAUAUAUUUUUAAUCUGUUCAACUGUUUGGAAGCUUUGAAAUUAUCCAUCAUCCACCCCAAACAGUGUCCUAUUAAAAAUUGUGAAUUUGGCUCAGAAUUUAAGACGCUCAAGCAACACUUUUAGAAUUUAACUUUCCACAUAUAGUCUUCCUAAAAUUAUUCGAGCAUCUAGAGUUCAAAUUUGAAAAAGAACAUGAAAUAUAAUAUCAAAUGGGAUGUUGAAACGUCUCCAAAUCCAUGCACACGUAGAUCAUAUUGUAACAGGACACUCAAUUUGGGAGAGGGGUAUUUUAUUUGAGAUUUUUCGAAGAGGGUUUGAUAAGUCUCAGUUCAGCUGCAGAAUUAAAAGGUACUACAUUUAAAAGAUUUGUGGGUGUUACGGAUUCUCAUCUUCUUUGGCAUAGUGGCAUUUUUGCCGUGCUUGUGGUAUUUGAGGAAAGGAAUGACACAGUUCUUUAAAAUCAUUACCUCUCUUUGAUUGAAACCUAUCCUUCAUUGAUUGUUUUUCUAUUCCUUUUUGUAUCUUUCUCCCUCCAUCCGUGUUCUAAAUAUCACAAGGCGAACCUAGGUGGUAGAAGCCCACCAAGGUCACCUAGGCGAUGCAGCCUAGGCGUUUUCCUAGGCACACUAGGCAUUUUUUUCAAAACGGACUAAACGUUUUUUUUAGGUGGUCUCAUUUAUUUAUUUUUCUAGUGUAUAUAUUUAUUAUACUAUACAAAGCAUAUAGUAGAUGUAGUUUUUUAAAAUUGUACAUGAAAAUUUACCAAAAAAUAAUCUUUUAAGGCUUAAUAAAUUCAUUUCAAGUAUUGUAGAAUUACAAAGACUUUAUUAAAUCAAUGUUGUAGAGGUCUGAUUCUGCUUAGACGGCUAAAUCUAGGCGGUAGAGGACCUACCAAGUACCUAAGGCAGGGAUUAGUCAAACUUAGGCGGGAAUUAAGCGAACAUAGGCGAGGAUUUUUAGAACAUUGAUCUCUAUGAAUGAGAUUCAAUAUUUACCAAAAAAUUGUGUCAUUUAUAUCUUCACAAGGUACCCAAUACUACAAAUUGUUUCAAGCCCGGACAGAACAAGAAGGUCCCUUCUUUCAAAAAAGAGGAAAAGGUAUUCAUAUUUAAUUUGUCUAAAGAUUUCCGGGGGAAAUAGUGAUGCCUGCUAUUUUUACACAUGAUAUAUAAUAUGUGGAAGUAUCGACCAAAACUAAAUAUAAUAAACUAUAACUUUUUUAAGUAUCAAUUACACUAUUAGGUAGCAAUGCAGGUCUAACUGGGUCCAACUAUUAUAUUUAAAUUACAAAACUUUGACAAAGAAAACUACCUAAGCAGACUAAACACACAUUAACAUAAAUCACAUUCUAUACUCCCACAGAACACAGUUUAGUGGAAAAUUUUGUCAUUUAUGUAGUCAUAAAGAACAUUAAGCACACUAAAUCACAAAACACAAACCUUACGAAAAUUAGAGACCAAAUGAGAAACAGAAGAAGGUGACCGCUGAUAAAACCGAUGCAAUGCCAUGACCGCCUUCUUCCUAACGGCCUCCUUGGCGUGUCCCAAUAACUCAACCACCUGCGGCAACACUGCUGGAAUAGUCUCCUCAUUAAUCAACCUACAAACCGCAUUUAAUGCCGCACAAACCACCAAAAAAUUAUCCGAUUUCAAGUCCUUCUGAAUAGUAUUCACAAUCAGUAUUAUCAGAUCAUGAUCCUCAUUCAAAAACAACGUCACCGCCAAGUACCCAGUCCGUUUCAGUAACAACGAAUCAUCAUGAGUCAUUUUAACGGCGUGAAUGUACCCAAACGAGGCAUCAUGACCGAGCAUUUCAAUGUAAACGAGACGAAUUAUGUACUCUUUCAUCUUCCGUUUGGGGAUAUCCGGCUCAGUGAUUCGGCGCUUUAGGGUUUCGAUCUCGUGGAGUACAAUUCGAUCUUCUUCCGCUUUGGAUCGGGCUUCACCGAUUGAUUUUAUUAGGUCAAGAAAUUCUUUGGACUGGCCGAAUCCGCCUUGGGAGCCCAUUGCGAGCUCCCGGCCGAUCGUUUUUAGCUGCUCCAGCUUUGAAUUUUGGGGUUUAUGGUUUGGAUUUUUCUCUGAUUAUACAACUUUUUUAGGAAAUGGAGAAUCCAAGAAAAUGUAAUAGUAGUGGAUCUGGGAUCAGUAACGAAUUAUGCCUCCAGAUUACAUGAAGAUCUGGAGGAUGAAAGAAAAAUUGAAACAAAUUCAACAAAGUAAUAAUAUAUAUAUAUGUAUAUAUGUGUGUGUAUGUAGAUAGAGCAAAAGAGACGGAGAGUAGAGACUGGUUUGGGGAAGGAGGACCAGAGGAGAAAAUAAGAGAACGUGAAAGAUGUGGACGAUGAUGAAACAAUCGGCGUCGUUUUGUUACAUGUGUAUUGUAGUUGGACACGUGGUGUGCACGUGGUGGAUUUCUUCUUAGAUUUUUUUUAUUUAUUUUUUUGGCUUAAAUACAAUUUUCAACUGUACUCUGAAUACAAAUGCAUCAACUCGUUGAAUUAUAAUUCUUUUAUAAAAAUUAAAUUUUUCAUUUGAAAAUAUUAAAAGUUAACAAAAUAUUUAUAUGACACCACAUCAAAUACUUAAAUGGAUAUUCAAUAAUUUAAAAACAAAAUAAAUUCACAACUCAAUAUAAGCCUUUAUACCAAAAUAAAGCUACAACACAUUAUCACUACCAUUAAAAAUAAACAAAACUAAAUUAAAUCAAAUUUGAAGAAGUCUGAAAAAUGAAUUUAUUUAACUUCUAUUUCUUAAGAAAAAAAUAUUAGAAAAUCUUUGUGACGCCUCCAAAAUAGGUAUACAUCACCCAUUCUGAGUCGUCAAAUACAUGGUACAAAAAUAAAUACAACCUCAGUAAUAUAAUUGUUGUGCAAAAUACGACAACACAUAUACUGUGAGUUUGAAUACAAAUAUAGUCUAAUAGAGAGUAUAAAAACUCAAAAGAAGUCCUCAUUACAAUUAUUGAUACACUAUUUUACAAAAAUAGUGAGUACUGCUUAAAACAACUUUCUAGAACCAUCAUUCCGUACCCCGACUAGUUCCUGCUAUGUUCUCACCUCCUGAGAAAAAAAAUAGAACAAAAAGAAAAAUGGUGAGCUCAACUAGCCCAGUAAAGAAUAUUAUGACUAAGAUAAUAUACAAUAAAUUAUCAUUAGUCUUCAACAGGGAAUAAUCUGAUAAAAUAUAAUAGAUAACAAAUUUUAGAUCAACAACUGCAGCGGAACAUCAAUCCAUUAGAAGAGUCAAGUAGAGAAAGAAUUCUACUAUCUUCUAAGAUUUAAAAGUUCAUCAUCAAUAUUUUAUCCCUGUAACAUUAAUCAAUAUACAUCUUGGAUCAAAUAUUCAUCUUUGCACUACAGGCCAAAGAUAUUCAUUUGUAUCACCAGUUGGUCAUGUUCAUCUCAACACCUGUUCAUCUUUGCACUACGGGCCAAAGAUAUUCAUUAGGUAAUCAUUCAUCUUUGCACUACAUACCAAAGAUAUUCAUUAAUAUCAUCAUUUAGGACUGAGGAUGAUGAAAAAUAUUUUUAAAAAAACGAAUCCAGUUAGAUAAAAGAACAAAUAGUAGGGAUUCGUAUUACAGUUUAUCCAAGUUCAAUAAUACUCCGUAAUAACCAAUUUUGAAGAAGAAUUCAAAAAUAAUAAUCAAAACAUGGAUACAAUCAAAGAUAGUAACCAUAAUAGUUAUCUUAGACAAAAAGAAGAAAAUUUUAUUUUUCGGUGAAUAGUGUCGUAUUCGUGAAUAGUGCCGUAUACGUGAAUAGUGCCGUAUACGUGAAUAGUAACCCUGACACAAAAAGUUCUAAAUUUGAUAAAAAGUUCAAAUCAAUAUUUCGGCAUAAUGAUAUUGAAGAAAAUAAUAUCAUUUAAGAAGAAAAUAACACCCCUUACCUUGCAAAGACAGUACUUCUGACUGGAAUACUGGAUAUAGUGCUGAAUGAACUUGCAUCGUAUAACAACACUCAAAGUACUAAAAUACUCACAAAAUACGCUCAAUAUUAUAAAGAGAGAAAGAGAUAAAACUUAUGAAUUCUGGUGUGAUUUUCAAUUCUAACUAAGCACCCUAUUUAUAAGAAAAUUCUUAGAACGCCAUAGAAGACUAAUGUAACACCCCAUUCCCGAAAUAGAAAGAGAGGUUACUCAAAACAUAACAAAACUGAUAAAUUUACUAGCAAGACUANNNNNNNNNNNNNNNNNNNNNNNNNNNNNNNNNNNNNNNNNNNNNNNNNNNNNNNNNNNNNNNNNNNNNNNNNNNNNNNNNNNNNNNNNNNNNNNNNNNNAUGUCACACUGGCUCAAACCACAAUCUAAAAUCAUUAUUACAACUCCAAAUCAAACUAUUGGAUCACAACUUAAACAAAAUAUCUAAACCAUUUGGAUAAAAGGAAGCUCUCGUCACACUUGCCCUUGAUACCCCUGAUUACCUGCCGGAAGAAAAACACAGCAUGAGCCAAAUGUCCAGUACGGAUAUAGAAUACAAAUAAUGAACAACUAGAAAUAACUCACUCAAUUAAAUGAAAUGAAACGAAACGAACUGAAACGAAACGAACAAAACUAACACAACGAAAUAAUAGGCUGAAUCAAAUUGCUGGGUGUUAUUUCAUACCGAGCUCAAAACAAAACAGAAAUAUACCUUGCCACACAGGCAAGUUACACACAUUGGACCGCGAAUCCAAAUGUAUGUAAAAUCGGAAGGUGUGUUUAGCACAAACAUCUCCAAUCCGCAGAACAGAACAGUACAGAAACUAGGGUCGACCCAUACGCCUCCCACAAUAAAACACCAAAUGGUCAACUCCCAACGGAGCACAAAACGGAGAAUCCAUACGCCUCCCACAAGANNNNNNNNNNNNNNNNNNNNNNNNNNNNNNNNNNNNNNNNNNNNNNNNNNNNNNNNNNNNNNNNNNNNNNNNNNNNNNNNNNNNNNNNNNNNNNNNNNNNAAUGGCCAACUCCCACCGGAGCACAAAACGGAGACACCGUGGACUGAUCACACCGCCACGGAAGGUGUCAUGCCUCGGUGCCAAGAGGACAUGCAUGUGAUACCCCCACAAGUGGUUAUAACUCAGGUAUACCCUACGGUAUUCUAACAAAACAUCAUGUCACAACACAUGUGACACAAUAUCAACACAAAGGGGUUCUAACGUGUACAUGUUAAAUCAAACGAAUCCUCAACACAAAGUCUCCAAAAAUAUUAACAUGUACUUUCUACAAAGAUCGAAAUAAAUAUUAACCAUGAUACACUAGAUCAAGAGUACAACAUGAGUUCUAAGUAUUAAUACCAAGACAAAACUAUCACAUGAAUUUGAGAAUGAAUAAUUAUGGGAAACAAUAACUAAUUUCGAAACAAGAAACAAAACGAACAAAUUAAAUUUAAUAAGAGUAUCGCUGAAGGAGUACGAAAUCCGUACCUGGAAUCAAUAAUGCAAUACCUAAAGUAUAUUAAAAAUAAACUCGUUUAGACUCUCUCCGUUCAACCUAAAUAAUUUAAUAAGAUUUUAUUACAAUCCAAUCAUUAAUAACAUAAUACUAUUAAAUUUAUUAUUAAGAACUUUUAUACUUAUGUCGGUAAAAUUAAUUCAUUAAUUCAAAUUAAUUACAUAACUUUAAUUUAAUUUAUAAUUUCUGUUUAUACAAUUCAUGGCUAAAACUUAUUAAAAUAAUAUAUCUAUAUAUAUAUAUGUAACUUAAUCAUCCCUGCAGUGCUGCAGGUUGAUGGAUGUCUUAGUCCACGUAAUGAUUAUGUAACUUAAUAACGAAAUGAUUAUCUUGCUGCAAUUAGGUAAAUAUAUAUAUAUAUAUAUAUAUAUAUAUAUAUAAUAAUGCAUGUAACCAAACUUGAUUCUUACAAUAUUUCAAAAAUCGGUGGCUUUCAAUUGGAAGCAUUACUUUUCUUAAAUCAACACAUAUAUACCAACCUCCUGAGCAAUCCACUUUAACCCAAAUCAUAUAACAUAUAUACAUAUAUAUUCAAGUUGCUUUACACCGAAUUCCAUAAAUCACAGUAAUAAUGAAAUUGAUUAUUCUAACUAUUUAAUACAUACAUAUAAUAUUUGUGAACAAAAGAAGCUAUUACCUAGAUUAUUCUCCUCUUCUUCGGUAGUAGCGGCUGCACCUCUUUCUUUUCUUUCAGUUAGUAUAAAAUAUGAUGUUUCAAUUAGGUUUUGUUUAUUAAUUCUCUUAAUUGUAUAAAAUUUAAUAUUACCCACAUAAAAUAAACCCAAAGAUAUUUUAAGGCCCAAUUUUAUCAAAUUAAUUUAUUCAACGCUUAUUAACUUAUUAGUCCAAAAUAAAUGACUAGUUUGACCCAAAUAAAAGACAAAGUCCAAUUAGAAUAUUUUAAAACAAUAUUAUUAUUAUUAUUAUUUUAUUUAAUUAUUAUUUUUUUCGGGUAUUACAUCACCUACUCCUUAAAAGAAUUCCGUCCCCGGAAUCAAAAGAAUAGAACGUACCUAAUUAUCAAAAAGAUGUGGAUACUCCGCUCGAAUAAACUCUUCUAUCUCCCAAGUGGCUUCUCGCUCCGAAUGGUUCCUCCACAUCACCUUAACAAACGGAAUAGUCUUCCUCCUCAUAAUCCUUUCUUGACGAUCCAAAACCGCCUCAGCUUUCUCCUCACAAGUAAGAUCCUCCCGAAUCUUAUCGAAUGGAUAUUGCACCACAUUCAACGGAUGAUAAUGAUAACUCCUCAACACCGACACAUGGAACACAUUGUGCACAUGAGCUAGCUGUGGAGGCAAAGCUAACCGAUAUGCAACCUCACCAACCCUCUCCAGAAUCUCAAAUGGUCCAAUAUAACGCGGACUAAGUUUCCCUUUCAACCCAAAUCGUCGAAUGCCCUUCCAAGGAGAAACUUUUAAAAACACAUGCUCACCAGGUUCAAACUAUAAAAUUCUCCUAUGUUUAUCAUCAUAACACUUCUGUCGUGAUCGAGCCGAUUUCAAUUUCUCCUUAGCCACCGCUACCUUCUCCGUAGUGAUUUGAACUAACUCAGGCCCCUCUAUGGCCCUUUCGCCAACCUCAUCCCAACAAGUUGGUGCUCGACACUUUCUACCAUACAGUGCCUCAAACGGAGCCAUUCCAAUACUUGCAUGCCAGCUGUUGUUAUAAGCAAACUCAACUAGGCUCAAGUAAUCAUCCCAAUUACCCGGCCACUCAAGUGCACAAGACCUCAACAUGUCUUCUAAUGUCUGAAUAGUCCGCUCAGAUUGCCCAUCAGUUUGCGGAUGGAAAGAAGUACUGAAGUUGAGCCGAGUGCCCCAAGCUCGUUGAAACCCUUUCCAGAACCGUGAAGUAAACCGUGGGUCCCGAUCUGAAACAAUAGACACCGGAGUACCAUGAAGUCUAACAAUCUCCUGCUGAAAGAUAUGUGCCAACCUAUCCACCGAAUAACCCUCACGGAUAGCCAAAAAGUGUGCCUAUUUGGUCAACCAGUCCACUACUACCCAUAUGGCAUCAUUCUUCCUGAAAGUCUUCGACAAACCAGUCACAAAAUCCAUCGUGAUAUCCUCCCACUUCCACACUGGAAUGUCUAACUGUUGCAGCAAACCACUAGCUCGUUGAUGUUCUAUCUUCACUUGUUGACAAGUGAGGCACUUCCCAACAUAUUCAGCCAUGUCUCGUUUCAUCCCAUUUCAUUAAAAAUUCUUCUUCAAAUCCCUAUACAUCUUUGUAGAACCUGGAUGAAUAGAAAAUGGCGAACUAUGAGCCUCAGCCAACACCGCAUCUCGAAUGAUUGGAUCUGACGGUACACACAACCGUUCACCCAACCAAAUCACACCAUGGUCAUCAAUACGAAACUCGGACUGCUUGCCCUCCUCUAAAUUCUGCGUCAUACUCCACAACUCCCCGUCUUCUUUUUGAGCUUCUUUGACUCGCGAGAUAAGAGAGGGCUCCACUCUCAUACCUGCCAAAUGCCCAUCCGAACCUCGUACAUACAACUCCAACUCGAGUCGUUCCAUAUCCGAAAUAAGCUGAGGUUGUGUAAUAAAGGCUGCUACACUCCCAGAACUCUUUCGGCUAAGAGCAUCUGCAACCACAUUUGCCUUUCCUGGGUGAUACUGAAUCCUCGCAUCAUAAUCUUUUAGAAGCUCCAACCAACACCUUUGCCUCAUAUUGAGCUCCUUCUGAGUGAAGAUGUAUUUAAGACUUUUGUGAUCGGUGAAGAUAUCAUAAGUCUCUCCAUACAAAUAAUGCCUCCAAAUCUUUAGGGCAAAGAUCACUGCUUCCAACUCCAAAUCAUGUAUGGGGUAAUUCACCUAGUAAGGUUUAAGCUGCCUAGAAGCAUAAGCAAUCACCUUACCGUGUUACAUCAAAACACACCCCAAGCCCUUCUUAGAAGCAUCACUAUAAAUCUGGUAACCUCCUGUCCCCGACGGCAAUGCAAGUAUAGGAGCUAUCAUAAGUCGUUUCUUUAACUCCUCGAAACUCUUCUCACGCUCCUCAUUCCACACAAACUUCACGCCCUUUCUCAUCAACUGAGUCAAUGGUAAGGCAAGCGAAGAGAAUCCUUCCACAAAUCGCCUAUAGUACCCUGCCAAACCCAAGAAACUCCUAAUCUCUGUCACCGUAGUAGGUCUCGGUCAUUUAGUGAUAGCCUCAACCUUUGCAGGAUCCACCUUAAUGCUUUCAGCAGAAACAACAUGGCCCAAAAAUGCAACCUGCUCCAACCAAAACUCGCAUUUAGAGAAUUUAGCAUACAAUUUCUCUUUCUGUAAAAUCCCCAACACUGUGUGAAGAUGUUCCUCAUGUUCUUCCUUAGACUUGGAGUAAACCAAAAUGUCAUCAAUAAAGACAAUAACAAAUUGGUCCAAGUACUUCCUGAACACCCGAUUCAUUAAAUCCAUAAACACCGCUGGGGCGUUAGUCAACCUGAAUGGCAUCACCAGAAACUCGUAAUGCCUAUAUCGAGUGCGAAAAGCUGUCUUAGGGAUAUCCUCAUCCCUCACCCUCAACUGAUGAUAGCCCGACCUCAAGUCUAUCUUCAAAAAAUAUUUUGCCCCUUGAAGUUGGUCAAACAAGUCAUCAAUCCUCGGCAAUGGAUACCGAUUCCUGAUGGUGAUCUUGUUCAACUCCCUGUAGUCUAUACACAGCCUAAUAGACCCGUCCUUUUUCUUCACGAACAAGACCGGAGCACCCCACGGCGAAACACUUGGCCGAAUCACACCAUGAUCUAACAGUUCCUGUAAUUGUUCCUUUAACUCCUGUAACUCCAACGGUGCCAUCCGAUACAGUGCCUUAGAGAUAGGUUCCGCACUAGGAACAAGCUCAAUAGCAAACUCCACUUCCCGCUGCGGUGGUAACCCUGACAACUCCUCAGGAAACACAUCGAAAAAAUCACGAACAAUUGGAACAUCCUCAAUUCGAGACUCACCCUUAGAGGUAUCUUUCACAAAUGCCAAAUACCCCUCACAACCCUUUGCCACCAACUUUCCAGCCUUCAAAGCUGAAAUUAAUUUCACCACUCUACUCGGCUGUGAACCCUGAAACAAGAAAUCUAGAGAUUUCACAUCUCCAAAUAUAACCUUCUUCGCCUGACAAUCGAUAGUGGCCUGGUGCUUAUCCAACCAGUCCAUCCCAAGAAUGACAUAAAAAUCGUGCAUACUCAUUGGGAGAAGAUUAGCCCUACAAAUCCUAUCCCCAAAACUGAUCGGACACCCUCGAUACAAAUCAGAAAUAACAACAGAAGUCCCCAUCGGGGUAGCAAUAGACAUAACAAAAUCUAAAGACUGAGAUGGCACACCCAGGUGCCGAACAAAAGACUGAGCAACAACGGAGUGAGUAGAACCCGUAUCAAACAAAAUAGAAGCCUCGCGAUUACCAACUAAAAGAGUGCCAGAAACAAUACCUGGUGCACCUGCCGCCUGAUUAUAUGUCAAGGCAAAUACUCGACCACCCUGACGCUAACCUCCAUUGCCACCAUUAUCACUACCUCCACCAUUUCCGCGUGGACCGGUACAAUCCCUAGCAAUAUGACCCAUCUGUCCACACAAAAAGCAUGCACCGGUGAGUCUGUGGCAUUCCCUUCCCGGAUGACUAGCCCCACAAGUAGCACAAGGAGCUAUCGGAAUAAGAUUUGGGUUACCCCCACCAGCUGAUCCCGGAUAACGACCUUGAUUCUGCCCCUGCUGACGAUUCUGCCACUGCUGACGAUUCUGACCAUUCCAAGGUAGCUGCAACUGACGAUUUUGCCCUUGCUGAGGCAUCUGCUGAUAACCCCUGUUUUUAUUCUGACCACGCCACUGCCCCUGUUGGCCACCACGAUUCCUAUUCAACUGACCACCCUGAUUUCUCCCAUGCUGAACUAAAGUUUGACCCUGCUGGUCAUCUCUGUCCCUCUUUCGACUCCCCUCCGGUUUAGAAGACCGAAAGUCCUGUCGCUCCAUCUCAAUAUUCUUGGUUGCAUUUGCCACAGCCGACACAUCUACAAACUUGUUGUUAAUGAGAUGUUGUCGAUACCUAUAAUGAAUCCUCCACUUAAAUUUCUCUGCCUGUUCUGUUACAGUCCUGCUGAGGUUCCCGAAAAGCCUGCCAACCUAGUAAACCUCGUCAUGAAGUUCGUGAUGGACUCAUCAUCUUUCUGCCGAAUCGACAGAUACACUCUAGCAUAGGCCUUUUUAUCAGCAGCUGGGAAGUACUGCUGAUAAAAGACCUCACAAAACUCUGCCCAGCUAAGUGCCUCAACAUAACCAUCACCCUUUGUUGUUUUCAACACUUUCCACCACCUCUGCGCAUCCCCUUCCAGCUUGUAAGCAGCUAGCAACACUUUCUGAUUAUUCGAGCAUCCCAGCACAUCAAAGAUCUUCUCUAGGUGAGCAAUCCAAUUCUCUGCAUCAAUUGGAGUCGGAGCUGAACUGAAUGCAUGUGGUUUCUGCUUUUGAAACCUCUCUAACCAUACAUACAUCGGAACCACCUGCUGAUCAAGACCAUCUGUAUUCCCUUCUUCAACAUUUGCUUGCUGACCAUUAUUUCCCGGAUUCCCUUGCUCAGGAAUUUCUGGUGGCGGCUGCUGCUACAACCUGUGCCACCAACUGAGGUAAAGCCUGAUUCACCGCCUGAUUCACCAAGGUAGCCAAUUGAGCAUUCAUCUGAUCAUUAGGUUACUCAUUGGGCUGACCCUCACCUCUUCCCCUAUUGUUACCUCGCCUCCCAACAACUCUGGCGGAUCUACGAGCCAUCUAAGAAAGAGAUAACGAAUAUAAACAAAGCAGAUUAGGGAUAAAUUCAAAUAUGACUAAUAUAAUAGCUGAACAGAAAAUCAAACGAAACAGAAACCUAACCCAGAAGUCUACCCAUAACUCACAGGUCAAACCUAUAUAGGUUUUCUACAAGAAAGAACCUAAGCUUUGAUACCAACUCUGUAACACCCCCUUCCCGAAAUAGAUAGAGCGGUUACUCGAAACAUAACAAAACUGAUAAAUUUACUAGCAAGACUCAAAGCCACAAAAGAAUAGUCUUAAUAACUGAUAAAUACCAUAAGUCAACCAUAAUAAAUCUCAAACUGUCUCAAACCACAAUCAAAAAUAAUUAUUACAAUUCCAAAUAAACUGACACAUCAAGUCUAAACAUAAUAUUUCUAAAUCAUUGGAAUGAAUGGAGCUCUCAUCACACUUGCCCUUGAUUUCUCUGAUUACCUGCCGGAAGAAAAACACAGCAUGAGCCAAAUGCCCAGUAUGGAUAUAGAAUACAAAUAAUGAACCGAAAUAACUAACUCAAUUAAAUGAAAAGAGACGAAACGAACUGAAACGAAACGAACAAAUCUAACACAACGAAAUAAUAGGCUGAAUCAAAUGGCUGGGUGUUAUUUCAUACCGAGCUCAGAAUAAAACAGAAAUAUACCUUGCCACACAGGCAAGUCAAAUAAUGUCACAUAGGCAAAUCAAAUGCCACACAGGCAAGUCACACACAUUGGACCGCGAAUCCAAUGAAUGUAAAAUCGGAAGGCGUGUUUGGCACAAACAUCACCAAUCCACAGAACAGAACAGAACAAAAAACUAGGGUCGACCCAUACGCCUCCCACAACAAAGCACCAAAUGGCCAACUCCAACCGGAGCACAAAACGGAGACGUCGUGGACUGAUCACACCGCCACGGAAGGUGUCAUGCCUCGGUGCCAAGAGGACAUGCAUGUGGUACCCCCACAGGUGGUUAUAACUCAGGUAUACCCUACGGUAUUCUAACAAAACAUCAUGUCACAACACAUGUGACACAAUAUCAACACAAAGGGGUUCUAACGUGUACAUGUUAAAUCAAACGAAUCCUCAACACAAAGUCUCCAAAAAUAUUAACAUGUACUUUCUACAAAGAUCGAAAUAAAUAUUAACCAUGAUACACUAGAUCAAGAGUACAACAUGAGUUCUAAGUAUUAAUACCAAGACAAAACUAUCACAUGAAUUUGAGAAUGAAUAAUUAUGGGAAACAAUAACUAAUUUCGAAACAAGAAACAAAACGAACAAAUUAAAUUUAAUAAGAGUAUCGCUGAAGGAGUACGGAAUCCGUACCUGGAAUCAAUAAUGCAAUACCCAAAGUAUAUUAAAAACAAACUCAUUUAGACUCUCUCCGUUCAACCUAAAUAAUUUAAUAAGAUUUUAUUACAAUUCAAUCAUUAAUACGUUCCCCUGGGUGGUGAUUAAAGGUGUCUCCACGGUCUCAUUCACUCUAUUAUUAACAUUUUCAGCUGCCAUUCUUACAUACUGCCAUAAAACAAGGGUAAAUUGUCAUGUCAUAUAUUAUCCAUAUACUCUGACCGACCAAAUAAAUACCAAAUAAACUUAGCCAGGUCAUACUAGCGAAGGAAUUCUCAGUCUCUCCCCUCCUAGUUCUUGUCUCACAUCUUAGCCAGGGAUCAUAUCCCUAAGCUCUGAUACCAACUGUGACUUUGGACACCAACUUGUGUCAGCACCUUACCAGGGUACCUAUCAGCUUGCCACCGCAGAACGGCGUCCCCUACGGAGAGUCUUGCUUCGGUGCAUCCCUCAUCAACAGGAAGUCACCAGAUAGAGGCUCAGGGCUCUUUACUUAUGGCUCUGAUACCAACUGUGAUGCCCCCAAAAUAGGUAUACAUCACUCAUUCUGAGUCGCCAAAUACAUGGUACAAAAACAAAUACAACCUCAGUAAUACAAUUGUCGUGCAAAAUACGACAACACAUAUACUGUGAGUUUGAAUACAAAUAUAGUCUAAUAGAGAGUAUAAAAACUCAAAAGGAGUCCUCAUUACAAUUAUUGAUACACUAUUUUACAAAAAUAGUGAGGACUGCGUAAUACAAAUUUCUAGAACCAUCAUUCCAUACCCUUACUAGUUCCUGCUAUGUUCUCACCUCCUAAGAAGAAAAAUGGAACAAAAAGAAAAAGGUGAGCUCAACUAGCCCAGUAAAGAAUAUUAUGACUAAGAUAAUAUAAAAUAAAUUAUCAUUAGUCUUCAACAGGGAAUAAUCUGAUAAAAUAUAAUAGACAACAAAUUUUAGAUCAACAACUGCAGCGGAACAACAAUCCAUUAGAAAAGUCAAGUAGAGAAAGAAUUCUACUAUCUUCUAAGAUUUAAAAGUUCAUCAUCAAUAUUUUAUCCAUGUAACAUUAAUCAAUAUACAUCUUGAAUCAAAUAUUUAUCUUUGCACUACAGGCCAAAGAUAUUCAUUUGUAUCACCAGUUGGUCAUGUUCAUCUCAACACCUGUUCAUCUUUGCACUACGGGCCAAAGAUAUUCAUUAGGUAAUCAUUCAUCUUUGCACUACAGACCAAAGAUAUUCAUUAAUAUCAUCAUUUAGGACUGAGGAUGAUGAAAAAUAUUUUUAAAAAACGAAUCCAGUUAGAUAAAAGAACAAAUAGUAGGGAUUCGUAUUAUAGUUUAUCCAAGUUCAAUAAUACUCCGUAAUAACCAAUUUUGAAGAAGAAUUCAAAAAUAAUGAUCAAAACAUGGAUACAAUCAAAGAUAGUAACCAUAAUAGACAUCUUGGACAAAAAGAAGAAAAUUUUAUUUUUCGGUGAAUAGUGUGGUAUUCAUGAAUAGUGUCGUAUACGUGAAUAGUAACCCUGACACAAAUAGUUCCAAAUUUGAUAAAAAGUUCAAACCAAUAUUUCAGCAUAAUGAUAUUGAAGAAAAUAAUAUCAUUUAAGAAGAAAAUAACAUCCCUUACCUUACAAAGACAGUACUUCUGACUGGAAUACUGGAUAUAGUGCUGAAUGAACUUGCACCGUAUAACAACACUCAAAGUACUAAGAUACUUACAAAAUACGCUCAAUAUUAUAGAGAGAGAAAACUUAUGAUUUCUGGUGUGAUUUUCAAUUCUAACUAAGCACCCUAUUUAUAAGAAAAUGCGUAGAACGCCAUAGAAGACUAAACUGCUACCUGAUGGUUUUACCUAUUACUAUUGCCACCCACCACAUUUGAAAUUCAAUUGAGCACAUUUCUCACCAACCAAUUCUAGAAUUUUCCAAAAUGUUUUAUCAUUUAAACAAUAACCAGAAACUUUAAUAAUUCAUAGAAAAUAGUCCGUUUAUCAGAAAAAUACGAAUUUUAUGUCCAUUCCACACGAAAUCGAAUUCUCUACAACUUUGUAGCUUUGAGUUUUUCCAAAUUCCAUACAUGAGAUACCCAAAAUUCACAAACAGAUGAUUUUUAAAUACUUACAAUCCGAUAAAAUACUGAUAAAACACCUCAGUAUUAAUUCCUUCAUUUUAACCACAAUAAAUAUAUCCAACAUUUAUAUCCACAUAAAUAAAUAUUUUCUUAUCAUAUGAAUCAAUAAUUAAUUAUUCACAAAUAAUAUUACAGAAUCACAUUUAUGACUUCCAGGCUGUUCCCAGGAAAGAGGGGGCUUUCCGAUAAGGAUUUCUCCUUACUGGCGCGCAAUUAGGUGACCAAACCUCUCAUUGACAGAACUUUCUAAACAUUGCUAAUAAUGCUAUCUAAUAAUAUUAUUCCAAAUAAUAUGAAUUAUUGAUCUGAUAAUAGAGAUGUUGUGCAGUGACAAUUAUUGAGCAACAAUAAUAUAAAAUAUCAACGCAGCAAUUAUUGAAUCAAUAAAAUAAAAUAUUGAACAGUAAUUACUGUGACAAUUAUUGAGUAGUGCCUUCUUGCGUAAGAAUCAAUAAUUCAAAAAUACUGUGCAAAACUGUGUGCUACUGUGCAACCACGCGUAUUACUGUAUUUUAACCACCGGGUAUUCCAACAGUGUUCACGGUAACAACUACGCCGUUAUUUAUAAAAACUCAAACUUUGUCGUUUUCUUCAUCCGACCGUUAUUCGUUGUGGGCCCAUAAAUGGUUGCGCCGUCGUACGAAUAUUCCCCGACAGAAAGAAUAUUCCACGACCAAACGAAUAUUCCCCGACAGAAAGAAUAUUCCACGACCAAACGAAUAUUCCCCGACAACAAUGAAUAUUUUAUAACCACUUGCUUAUUUUAAAAAUUUGCACAUUUCACCUAUAACCAAUGCAUUAUAUCAAAUUAACACCUUAUUAUUCACAAUAAUAAAUAGAGAAAAUUUGAUUUUAUUCAAUAAAAAGUUGGGGUCUUGCAACCUCCCCUCCUUAUGAAAUUUCGUCCUCGAAACCUAGUGUUUCAAAAAGGUGAGAUACCUCGCUUUCAUUUUUGAUUCUAACUUCCAGGUCAUCUCUUCAAUAGCAUGGUUUCUCCACAAAACCUUAACUUGUGGUAUAACCUUCGUGCGUAGGACAUGCUCUUUCCUAUCCAAGAUCUUUACAGGUACCUCCUUAUACGUUAAAUCUUCGGCUAUCUCGUCUGGUUCUAACUCAAUAAUGUGGUUCGGGUCUUUAACAUAUUUACGAAGCAUAGAUAUGUGAAAAACAUUAUGAACAAGAGACAUGUUUGGAGGUAAUGCGAGUAUAUAGGCCACAUUUCCUAUUCGGUCAAGAAUUUCAAAUGGACCAACAAAUCGUGGAUUGAGCUUUCCCCUCUUUCUAAAUCUUGUAACUCCUUUCCAUGGUGCAACACGUAACAAUACAUGAUCCCCAAUAUUAAAUUCCACGUCCUUCCGAUGAAGAUUUGCAUAACUCUUUUGUCGAUCCUGUGCCGUUUGUAUACGUUGUCGAAUCGUUUGGAUAUUCUCUGUAGUCAUUCGUAAAAACUCUGGUCCCAACUCUGUAGGGAUAUUAUUUAUGUUCUAUAUUCGUAUGAAAUAAUUUUUUCUUCCAUACUCUAUAGUAUGUAAGUAAUAUUAUUUCGUUUCAGAUUCUAAAUUUUACACUUAUUUUGUUAAGUAUUGCUUCUAUACUCCUUGAAAUUAGUAGAAUAUCCUUGAAAUUUGCGCUUCAUCGAGUGUCUUUUCACAUGAAUAUUUUUUUGGACAUUUUUGUUAAAUUUUAAUCUUUUUAUGCCGGGGUACUAUUCAUGGGAUACUAUUCAUAAAGUACUAUUCACGAGGGACUAUUCAUCCGGGUAAUAUUCAACCGAAAAAUUGAUUUCUUUUUUGUCCAAAUUAUUUUUGAUAAAUGGAUAUUAUUCUUGAAUUUUACUCCACAAAGCAGUUAUCAUGUUGUUAAUUUGAACAUUUUUAAACUCUGAAUAAAUUAAAAAUCUUUAAUAUUUAUCCUUGAUUUCAUUUGAUUGAAUUCUUAUAUCAUUGUCAUCAUCCUCAUGCUUAUAUUGUGAUGAAAGUCAUCUUUGGCCCGUCGUGCAUAGAUGGACUGUUGAUUGGUAUGAUUAUGACUGGGGAUUAUUCGGUAUAAUCAUGACCUGUAAUGUUACAAAUGAUGUGGUAAAAGUCAUCAUUGGUCCGUAGUGCAUUGAUGGGCAUGAUCAUGACUGUAGACCCCAACUUUUAUAAAUAAAGAUGAAUUUUUCUAUAAAUAUCAUUUUUGAAUAUUAUGGAGUAAAUUUGAUAUAAUGUUAUAGUUGUGGGUAAUAUUUAUAAAUUUUACAAAGUACGCAAGUUGUUAUAUAAUAUUCGAUUGGUGGGGAAAUAUUCGUUUUAACAGGGAAUAUUCGUACAACGGCACAAUCAUUGGUGGACCCCACAACAGAAUUAUUGUCGGAUUAAGAAAACGACAAAAAUACUUUAUGAAAAUAACGGCGGAAGUUUUACUGUUAACUGUUGAAACAUCCGGUGUUAAAAGUACAGUAAUACGCGUAGUUGCACAGUAGCACACGAUAUUGAUUAUUGAUGCUUACGUGAGAAGUCACUCAGUUUUGUUCAAUUAUUGCUAUAGUAGUUGCUGCAUAAUAUCUCACAUUAUUUACGGGUAGUAAAGAAGAAAAAAAAGAAAGAGAUGAUUUGAGUGGUGGUGUAUAUAAUAUAUAUAUAUUUAGUAUGAGAGGAUUGACAUUUGGGGAGGGGGAAGAAACUGAUGGAUUGCAUGGUCGGAAGGGAGUAAAUUAUUAUCAUUAUAUAUAUAAUAUAUAUAAUAUAUUUUAUUUAAAAGGUUUAUUUUAUUAGAAUAUUUUAUGGACCGUCCGAUUAAAAGUAAAUCAAUCUGGACCGUUCAUGAAUUAGUUACUAUGCAGUCCAUUCUUCUAUAAAUAGAAGCUCAUUCCUUCAUUAUUUCUUACGAAUUCACUGAAACUCUAGAGAGAGAAAUUAUAAAGAAACUAUAAAAAAGUAUUCUGCUACUUCCCUACUCUUAUAUUUAGUUUAUUUUACGGUAAGGAGUAUUAUUUCUUUUGUAUUCAAGAAGAGAACUUCUGUUAUUCUAUUCUUUAUUAUUCUGUUAGAAUAACUAGUAUACGCGGACUACCCUAUAUUUGGUGACAUUCUUCUAUUAUUCCGUCUUUGUUAUUAUUCUGUUGGAAUAUCUUGUCCGUGCAUUUUACGCCGGACCUGAUUCAGUCUUUAUUAUUAUUCUGUUGGAAUAUCCUGUUUGUGCGUUUUACGCCGGACCUGGUUCCGUCUUUAUUAUUAUUCUGUUAGAAUACCAUGUCUGUGCGUUUUACGCCGGACCUGGUUCCGUCUGUAUUAUUCUGUUGGAACAUCCUGUCGGUGCGAAUUUCGCCUGACCUGGUUCCGUUACUUAUUAUUCUGUUGGAAUAACCUGUCUAUGCGAAGUACCACAUGCAUGGUGAUUUCUUUUGUUAUUCCAUUCGUUAUUAUACUCAGUUGGUUAAAGUUUUGACUUCUAUACUCCAUGAAAUUAGUGGAAUAUCCUUGAUAUUUNNNNNNNNNNNNNNNNNNNNNNNNNNNNNNNNNNNNNNNNNNNNNNNNNNNNNNNNNNNNNNNNNNNNNNNNNNNNNNNNNNNNNNNNNNNNNNNNNNNNNNNNNNNNNNNNNNNNNNNNNNNNNNNNNNNNNNNNNNNNNNNNNNNNNNNNNNNNNNNNNNNNNNNNNNNNNNNNNNNNNNNNNNNNNNNNNNNNNNNNNNNNNNNNNNNNNNNNNNNNNNNNNNNNNNNNNNNNNNNNNNNNNNNNNNNNNNNNNNNNNNNNNNNNNNNNNNNNNNNNNNNNNNNNNNNNNNNNNNNNNNNNNNNNNNNNNNNNNNNNNNNNNNNNNNNNNNNNNNNNNNNNNNNNNNNNNNNNNNNNNNNNNNNNNNNNNNNNNNNNNNNNNNNNNNNNNNNNNNNNNNNNNNNNNNNNNNNNNNNNNNNNNNNNNNNNNNNNNNNNNNNNNNNNNNNNNNNNNNNNNNNNNNNNNNNNNNNNNNNNNNNNNNNNNNNNNNNNNNNNNNNNNNNNNNNNNNNNNNNNNNNNNNNNNNNNNNNNNNNNNNNNNNNNNNNNNNNNNNNNNNNNNNNNNNNNNNNNNNNNNNNNNNNNNNNNNNNNNNNNNNNNNNNNNNNNNNNNNNNNNNNNNNNNNNNNNNNNNNNNNNNNNNNNNNNNNNNNNNNNNNNNNNNNNNNNNNNNNNNNNNNNNNNNNNNNNNNNNNNNNNNNNNNNNNNNNNNNNNNNNNNNNNNNNNNNNNNNNNNNNNNNNNNNNNNNNNNNNNNNNNNNNNNNNNNNNNNNNNNNNNNNNNNNNNNNNNNNNNNNNNNNNNNNNNNNNNNNNNNNNNNNNNNNNNNNNNNNNNNNNNNNNNNNNNNNNNNNNNNNNNNNNNNNNNNNNNNNNNNNNNNNNNNNNNNNNNNNNNNNNNNNNNNNNNNNNNNNNNNNNNNNNNNNNNNNNNNNNNNNNNNNNNNNNNNNNNNNNNNNNNNNNNNNNNNNNNNNNNNNNNNNNNNNNNNNNNNNNNNNNNNNNNNNNNNNNNNNNNNNNNNNNNNNNNNNNNNNNNNNNNNNNNNNNNNNNNNNNNNNNNNNNNNNNNNNNNNNNNNNNNNNNNNNNNNNNNNNNNNNNNNNNNNNNNNNNNNNNNNNNNNNNNNNNNNNNNNNNNNNNNNNNNNNNNNGAGAGCCAAAACCACUUAAGGCGGAAGCAUGGAUAAAGCAGAUCACCAAGAUAUUUGAUGUCUUGGGAUGCUCCGAGGAGCAAAAGGUUCCCUUUGCCGCCUUUAUGUUGCGAGGAGAGGCAGAUUACUGGUGGGAGUCGGUAAAGCGUACUCAACUUGCCGCACUAAAAAUGUCUUGGGAGAAGUUCCAAGAACUAUUCAACGACAAGUACUUUCCCAAAAGUAUUCGUCACAUGAAGGAGGUGGAGUUCAUCAAGUUGGAACAAAAUAAUAUGACCGUGUCACAAUACGAAGCAAAGUUUGCCGAGUUAUCUCGGUUUGCGUCCCACUUGGUGGAUAGUGAAGAAAGAAUGACGCGGAUGUUUUUAAGAGGUUUGAAGCCGGAGAUACGUCAACAUCUUAUUUCUCAUAAACUGUGUUUGUAUUCAAAUAUUAUAAAUAGGGCUCAGUUAGUGGAGCGCGAUAACGAGUCAACGCAACCAAAAGAGAGCAGCCGACAAAAUGAUAAUACCAGCGAGAGCAGUCAUCGAAGCGGUGACAACAAGCGUGGAGGGAAUCAACAUGCCAGAAAUGGUAACCACUUCGGUGGUAAUCAGGGCCAAAACAAUAAGAAUGGACAUUUCAAGAAGAGGAGAUUCAACAAUGAUGGAAAGACGUCAGCACCAACACCCGUUGUUAAGGAAGGAGAACGACCACCUAUCAUAUGCUUCAAAUGCGGAGGGGAGGGACACAUCAGUCCAAGCUGCGCGAUGUCGUCCAAAGCAUGUUAUAAUUAUGGAAGAGAAGGUCACCUAGCCCGAUUUUGUCGUUCACCAAAGACAAGUUAUCCUUGAUUAAAAAUUAAAAAUAUUUAUUAUUUAUCCUUGAUUAAAAAUUGAAGUUUCAUAUACGCCAAGUCCAACCAAGCCAAGUCUACUAAAGUGGCCAUUUCUUAGCACUAAUAUUUAAUUAUAUAUUUUCCAAAUAUGUUAAAUUUAAGCAAUUAGUGCAUGGUCCAAACUCCAAAGUGGCAAAUGUAACAAGUCCACCAUCCAAGGUGAGAGCACUUCCACUAAAGUUUUAAUCCUCUCCACAAUAUAUUAUAAUUAAUUGGUCACCAAAAACUCUGGAUAAAUUAAAAAUCUUUAAUAUUUAUCCUUGAUUUCGUUUGAUUGAAUUCUUAUAUCAUUGUCAUCAUCCUCAUGCUUAUAUUGUGAUGAAAGUCAUCUUUGGCCCGUCGUGCAUAGAUGGACUGUUGAUUGGUAUGAUUAUGACUAGGAAUUAUUCGGUAUAAUCAUGACCUGUAAUGUUACAAAUGAUGUGGUAAAAGUCCUCAUUGGUCCGUAGUGCAUUGAUGGACAGUUGUUGGCAUGAUCAUGACCAUUGGUGAUAAUAACGAAUAUCAUUGGCCCGUAAUGCAUGGAUGAUUCGUGGAUGUGAUAAUAAUGAAUAUCAUUGGCCCGUAGUGCAUGGAUAAUUCAGUGAUGUGAAUUAUUUAUUGAGCUGAGUCUCAGCGAUAAAAUUGAUGAUAAACUUUUAAAUCAUAAAAGAUAGUAGAUAUUAUGCUCUACUUGACUCUUCUAAUGGAUUAUUUGUUCCGCUGCAGUUAUACUUGUUGUGUAUUAUAUUCUAUCAGUUUAACACUGUUGAAGGCUAACGAUAAUUUAUUCUGCAUUAUCUUAGUCAUAAUAUUCUUUACUAGGCUAGUUGAGCUCACCCUUUGCCUUCAUUGUUCUCUUCAGGAAAUGAUAAUAUAGCUGGGACUAGUCGGGGAAUGGAGUGACGGUCCNNNNNNNNNNNNNNNNNNNNNNNNNNNNNNNNNNNNNNNNNNNNNNNNNNNNNNNNNNNNNNNNNNNNNNNNNNNNNNNNNNNNNNNNNNNNNNNNNNNNNNNNNNNNNNNNNNNNNNNNNNNNNNNNNNNNNNNNNNNNNNNNNNNNNNNNNNNNNNNNNNNNNNNNNNNNNNNNNNNNNNNNNNNNNNNNNNNNNNNNNNNNNNNNNNNNNNNNNNNNNNNNNNNNNNNNNNNNNNNNNNNNNNNNNNNNNNNNNNNNNNNNNNNNNNNNNNNNNNNNNNNNNNNNNNNNNNNNNNNNNNNNNNNNNNNNNNNNNNNNNNNNNNNNNNNNNNNNNNNNNNNNNNNNNNNNNNNNNNNNNNNNNNNNNNNNNNNNNNNNNNNNNNNNNNNNNNNNNNNNNNNNNNNNNNNNNNNNNNNNNNNNNNNNNNNNNNNNNNNNNNNNNNNNNNNNNNNNNNNNNNNNNNNNNNNNNNNNNNNNNNNNNNNNNNNNNNNNNNNNNNNNNNNNNNNNNNNNNNNNNNNNNNNNNNNNNNNNNNNNNNNNNNNNNNNNNNNNNNNNNNNNNNNNNNNNNNNNNNNNNNNNNNNNNNNNNNNNNNNNNNNNNNNNNNNNNNNNNNNNNNNNNNNNNNNNNNNNNNNNNNNNNNNNNNNNNNNNNNNNNNNNNNNNNNNNNNNNNNNNNNNNNNNNNNNNNNNNNNNNNNNNNNNNNNNNNNNNNNNNNNNNNNNNNNNNAAGAGAAUCCAUAGCCAUAAUCAUACCAAAAACUGUCCAUCAUUGCACUACGGGCCAAUGAUGACUUUUUCCACAUCAUUUGUAACAUUACGGUCAUGAUUAUACCGAAUAAUCCCUGGUCAUAAUCAUACCAAGUCUAUCUAUGCACUACAGGCCACAGAUGACUUUCAACAGAAUAUUAUCAUGAGGAUGAUGACAAUGAUAUAGGAAUUCAAUAAAACAAGUUCAAGGAUAAGUUUUUUAAAGAUUCAAUAUACAUCUUGAAUCAAAUAUUCAUCUUUGCACUACAAGCUAAAUAUAUUAAUUUGUAUCACCAGUUGGUCAUGUUCAUCUCAACACCUGUUCAUCUUUGCACUACGGGCCAAAGAUAUUCAUUAGGUAAUCAUUCAUCUUUUAGGACUGAGGAUGAUGAAAAAUGUCAUACAGAAAAUGAAUCCAGUGAGAUAAAAGAUCAAAUAUUAAGGAUUCGUAUUAUAGUUUAUCCAAGUUCAAUAAUAUUCCAAAAUAACCAAUUUUGAAGCAGAAUUCAAAAAUAAUGAUCAAAACAUGGAUACAAUAAAAAUAGUAACCAUAAUAGACAACUUGGACAAAAAGAAGAAAAUUUCAUUUUUCGGUGAAUAGUGCCGUAUUCGUGAAUAGUACCGUAUACGUGAAUAGUGCCGUAUACGUGAAUAGUAACCCCGACACAAAAAGUUCCAAAUUUGAUAAAAAGUUCAGACCAAUAUUUCGACAUAAUGAUAUUGAAAGAAAUAAUAUCAUUUGAAGAAAAUAACAACCCUUACCUCAAAAGGACAGUACUUCUGACUGGAAUACUGGAUAUAGUGCUGAAAGAACUUGCACCGUAUAGCAACACUCAAAGUAUCAAAAUACUCACAAAAAUACGCUCGAUAAUAUAGAGAGAGAAAGAGAGAAAGCUUAUGUUUCUGGUGUGAUUUUCAAUUCUAACUUAGCCCUCUAUUUAUAGGAAAAUAUUAGCACGCCGAAGCAGACUUGACCUGCAACCUGAUGGCUUUACCUGCUAUUAUUCCCACCCACCAUAUUUGAAUAAAAAUUUCAGCACAUUUCUCACCAACCUAAAGUGGGGCCCACCAAUUCUAGAUUUUUCCACUAAAAUGAUAAAUUCCGAAACUUCAACAAUUUCUGAACCAGUCAUCUCUUAAAAUUCAUAACAAAUCAUACGUUCAUUUUUAACGGUUCAAAAUUUAUGGACAUAUACUCAACUUAUAUAUGUAUAACAUAUCCAAAUAUCACAACGAUCCAACGGUCAGAUCAAAAAUUAUAACUCACACAAUAUAUCUCAAGAACACUGAUUUGAUCUUUUAAUACCUCCAAUCCGACAAAAUACUGAUAAAACACCUCAACAUUAAUCCCUUCAAUUAUAACCACAUAAAGUAAAUCCAUCAUUUAUAUCCACAUCAAAUAAAUAUUUCCAUAUCAUAUAAAUCAUAACUAAUUAUUCACAAAUAAUAUUACAGAAUCACAAUUAUGACAACCAGGCCGUUCCCAAGAAAGAGGGGGCUUUCCGAUAGGAAUUUCUCCUUACUGGCGCGCAAUUAGGUUACCAAACCUCUCCUUGACAGAACUUUCUAGACAUUGUCAAUAAUGCUAUCUUAUAAUAUUAUUCAAAUAAUAUGAAUUAUUGAUCUGAUAAUAGAGAUACUAUGUAGUGACGAUUAUUAAAACAACAAUAAUAUAAAAUAUCAACGCAGCAAUUAUUGAAUCAAUAAAAUAAAAUAUUGAACAGUAACUACUGUGACAAUUAUUGAGUAGUGCCUUCUUACGUAAGAAUCAAUAAUUCAAAAAUACUGUGCAAAACCGUGUGCUACUGUGCAACCAUGCGUAUUACUGUAUUUUAACCACAUGGUAUUCCAACAGUGUUAACGGUAACAACUACGCCGUUAUUUAUAACAACCCAAACUUGUCGUUUUAUUCAUCCGACAGUUAUCCGUUAUGGGGCCCACAAAUGGAUGCGCCGUCGUACGAAUAUUCCCCGACAGAAAGAAUAUUCCACGACCAAACGAAUAUUCUCCGACAAAAAUGAAUAUUUUAUACCACUUGCUUAUUUUGAAAAAUUUUCACAUUUCACCCAUAACCAAAGCAUUAUAUCAAAUUAACACCUUAUUAUUCACAAUAAUAAAUAGAGAAAAUUUGAUUUUAUUCAUUAAAAAGUUGGGGUCUUACAACUUCCCCUCCUUAUGAAAUUUUGUCCCCGAAAUUGACGUACGUACCUGGUAUUUUGAAAAGGUGAGGAUACCUCGCUUUCAUGUCUGAUUCCAACUUCCAGUUCAUUUCUUCAAUAGCAUGGUUCCUCCACAAAACCUUAACUUGAGGUAUAAUCUUUGUGCAUAGGACAUGUUCUUUCCUAUCCAAGAUCUUGACAGGUACCUCCUCGUACGUUAAAUCUUCGGCUAUCUCGUCUGGUUCUAACGCAAUAAUGUGGUUCGGGUCGUCCACAUAUUUACGUAACAUCGAUACGUGAAAAACGUUAUGAACACGCGACAUACUUAGCGUUAAGGCGAGUCUAUAGGCCACAGUUCCUACUUGAUCGAGGAUUUCAAAUAAAUCGAAGGCUUGAGCUUUCUUCUCUUCAUCGACUCUUACUUCUAGAANNNNNNNNNNNNNNNNNNNNNNNNNNNNNNNNNNNNNNNNNNNNNNNNNNNNNNNNNNNNNNNNNNNNNNNNNNNNNNNNNNNNNNNNNNNNNNNNNNNNAAUUUCUCCGGAGUCAAAUUUAAACGUUGAGCGCAAGCAAGAGAGAAAAGAAUGGAUAGAACCGGUAUCUAAUAAGGUAUAGACUUCGCAAAAAUUUAUAAUUAACUAACCCGUGAUAACUUCGUUCGAUUCCUCGUCAGGAUAAUUCAAAACUCGAUGUUGGAUUCUCCCAAUUGCUGUCGAAAAAGAGAAAUACAUAUCAUCUAUUUUAAUUUUCUUGGAUCGGACUUCUCUUUCCACCAUAUUACUUGACAUGUUGAACAAAAUUGGUUAUGUUCUUUUCUGGUCUAAUCUUCAGCAGUCAAAGAAUAUUUGUUAAAAACAUAGAUAAAUGGAAAUGCUCAAAUCCAAGUGUAAAUCUACAACUAUAUGUUCAAAACAUAUUACGGCAAAUUCAAAUAUAACUAAGAGUAAUAUAUUUGUCGGUACGUUAAAGGUAACAUUUCUCUGCAGACAAAGUGGGUUUAUAAAAUGACAAUAAACAUGAUAAAAUGAAACCCUAGAGAAUAACCAAUUAUUAUAACAAGGGAAUGACAAUCUCACUUGAGAAAUAAGUGAAAAUUCGCCCGGCUAUAGUCCCCAACUUCCCCAAACACUCAAAUCCACAAACAUAUGCAAAGAACAGCCUGUUACAGCAAGCAUCCAAAUUACUCGAACUCAAUUUAAUUUCUACAAACCUUCCUUUGAUAAGUAUAAACCCAUAACUGUGAUACUCGCGGAGGUUCGGGCAACCCAUUCUGCUCGUGACAUAGAAGCUUUUAUCAUCAACUGUAUGUUCGUUGAUCAACAAGCUGUGCAACUCCAGUUCAAGAUUAACACCAUAUAAAUCUUAGCCGAGCAAGUCUCUGAACAAGUUGGGAUUCUGAUACGAAGGUGUCACACCCAUCUGCCUUACAAGUGCAUCCUUUACCAAAGCGUCUUUAAGAUUUGGACCCUUAUUUGUUGAUUGUGGUGGCUGCGUAACUGUGCUUCCACCAUGGGCAUUGCUGUUACUUGCACCCAACAAACCAGAACCGAUAUUAACAUCAAUACUACUUGACCCGCCGCUAAACAGCUCUCUAUACGGUGACAUAAAAUGAGGUGCUUUUGUAGCAACUGAACCAGAAUUCAUAGCUAAAGUAUCUUGUGCUACAUCAACGAGACCCUCCAGUUGUUGGAAUGGAUCCACAGACAAGGCACUACUUGUAACAGUUGGUUCUCCCAGGUCAAGCAAGUCGGGAGGUGGCUGAAGUGGAGGAGCGGCCUUCACUGCAGUAGGUUCAGAUAAAGUCACUCCCUUGGUUGAGUGAGUAUUAUCCGCUGAAUUACUGUUUGCCUUUGAACCCCUGUUGGCAGCAGCGGAUUGUCGCUUCUCAAACUUGGAAGUACCGCCAAACAGUGACGCAUCAAGCUUUUGCCUUUCUGGGGAUAUUUCGACUUGCUGCCUUCUUAAAUCAUGAGAGGCAUCGUGUGUUCUUGAUUUUGCACUACCUGUGGCAGCAGGUUGUGCUGCCCCCUUCACAGUCUUGUGAGAAUCAAGGUUCGAGGUUGAUGGGGCAGGAGAUGAAUAAGUUGGCCUACCCCACUUCUUUUGAACCCCAUCAAGUCGAAGCUUAAGCUCUGAUGAUCCUGCGUGAGAAGCAGAUGACACUAAUGGAGCUUGGUGUAUCUCCCUCACAUAAGAUGGCUCAGGUACUGGAACAUGUUCAGUCGAGGGUACUAUUGUAGUAGGAAUCCUUGUGGGCAUGGUGGGUUUUGGAAGCUCAUAGGCCUCAAACCUAAGAGCAUAUGUUGAAGCUUCAUGCUGAUCUUGGCUUCUAAAAUUGCUAAUAUCUAAAAUACCAGAACGUGCACUCUCAGGGAUAUAGGGCUGAGCCCCCUUCUCCAAGGUCUUUAUCUAUCUGUAAGGAGGAUUUAUGGAUGUUUUAUUAGUGUUCCAGCAUAAAUGAUACAACCAAGUAGCUACAUAAGGUUAUAGAAUGUAAAAGUGGACAGCCAACAAACAAACACACACUGCAAGUACCACUGAAAAUACAUGAAAUGUAUACAUGCUCAUAUGCCAGCACAAAACAACUUUUGAGGUCAAAAUAGAUGAAUAAAAAUUGCAUGCAUAUAUUAUUACUACAGUGCAUUAUGCAAGCCAUACAUCAGUACAUUCCAGUUUGUUCUACUACAGAGAAGAUAAAACUGAGCGAGUUAAAUAUGGACAUGUCAGCCUUCUAAUGCUUUUAAACUUGUUAACUUAUAAACAUCAAUCAAGCAUAGACAAUUCAUACACCUAAACGAAUAAAUCAUAUGUGUGUGUGUGUGUGUAUAGUUUAUAAUAAUAUAGAUCAAGUAUAAUAAAGCACUAUACUUAACACAAAUAAAAGCAUGUAAACAAAGUCCAUAAUCCUUUAGAUUGCUUAAACAUAUGACAAGUAUAAAACGAAAAACAAUUUUCUUAUGAUAUAUAUGUAGUUAUUUUUUUUAUAUUCAUUUUUUUGAUAGCGCAGUUUAAAAGUUACCGACUGUAAAUUACCAAUUUUGUGCUGAAACGAACUAGAUUCAAAUUAUUUUCCACUCCCAACAAAUUUAAAAGUAAAGGCUUCUACUUCUAAUAGAGGGCUAAUAUAAUCUUCCAUUAGCGGGUUUCUGAAGUAGGUGCAGAAUACCAUUAAUUUGGACCUGGUUGUUAAAUAUUGUGAGUUAUAAUAUUAAUGAUGGAUAAGUUUUGUUGAUUAAAGAUGAAAUUGAUAGUUCCAUUGUGUUAGGAUUAUUAGUGUUAGUGAAAAACGAUAUCUAUUUCGAUGAUAAUUGAUGUCUGGGGGUUAUAUUGAUAAAUCGGGUAAUUUAUCGGAUAAAUGAGCAAUUAAUUGCUACUAAUUCACAUGCUUAUAUAACUAUUUGUUCACAUGUGGGUACUAUUGAAUCACAUUCAUGUACUAUUAGGGGAGUUGGUGCAAGAUUGAUAAUACUUGCAUGACUAAGUUAAAAAUGGAGGUAUAGUUGAAGGUACUAUAUUGUAAUUAAUUUUUUUUCGCUUGAUUAUACUAUUUAUUCACAUGAUUGUACUAUUGAUUCACAUUAUUUACUAUUAGGGGAGGUGGUGCACGUUUGAUAAUACUUGCAGGACUAAAUUAAAAAUGAAGAAAAAGAGGAAGAUAUUAUACUGUAAUUUUUCGAGCCCCAAAACGUGCAAUUAUCGAAACUAUAUUUUUCUAUAAAUAGAAGCUCAUCCUUCCUUCAUUUCUCACCAUUUCACAAAAGCUUUAGAGCAAUUAUUAUAGAGAGGAAUUUUAUAGAGAAAGAAGAAUAGAAGUCUGCUACCUUUCUACUCCAGUAUCCAGUUUUAAUUUUUCUAAGGUAGGGGAUAUUAUUUCUUUCUUUCAUAUUCAUGAAUAGAACUUCUGUUAUUCCAUUCUUUGUUAUUAUGUUGGAAUAACCGGUUUAUGCGAAAUACCGCAUACUUGGUGAAAUUCUUCUAUUAUUCCAUUCUUUAUUAUUCUGUUGGAAUAUCCUGUCUGUGCGUUUUACGCCGGACCUGAUUCCGUCUUUAUUAUUCUGUUGGAAUAUCCUGUCUGUGCGUUUUACGCCGGACCUGAUUCCGUCUUUAUUAUUCUGUUGGAAUAUCCUGUCUGUGCGUUCUACGUAGGACUUAGUUCCGUCUUUAUUAAUUUUGUUGGAAUAUCCUGUCUGUACGUUCUACACCGGACCUGGUUCCGUCUUUAUUAUACUGUUGGAAUAUCCUGUCUGUGCGUUUUACGCCGGACCUGAUUCCGUUAUUUAUUAUUCUGUUGGAAUAACCUAUCUGUGCGGUCUAUCGCAUGCCUGGUGAUUUCUUUUGUUAUUCCAUUCUUUAUUAUACUCAGUUGGUUAAAAUUUUGACUUCUAUAAUCCAUGAAAUUAGUGGAAUAUCCUUGAUAUUUGCGCUUCAUCCAGUAUCAUUUCAUGGAAAUAUUCUUCUGAGCAUUCUUGAAUUUUACUCCACAAAGAAAUAUCAUGUUGAAAUUUGGACGUUAUUGGUUCCUAUUAAUUCUUGAACUUGUUUUAUUGAAUUCUUAUAUCAUUGUCAUCAUCCUCAUGUUUAUAAAAUGUUGAAAGUCAUCUGUGGCCUGUAGUGCAUAGAUGGACUUGGUAUGAUUAUGACCAGGGAUUAUUCGGUAUAAUCAUGACCGUAAUGUUAUAAAUGAUGUGAAAAAAGUCCUCAUUGGCCCGUAGUGCAUUGAUGGACAGUUGUUGGCAUGAUCAUGACCAUUGAUGAAUACACGAAUAUCCUUGGCCCGUAGUGCAUGGAUAAUUUGUGGUCGUGAUACUAAAGAAUAUCCUUGGCCUGUAGUGCAGGGAUGAUUCAAUGAUGUGGAUUAUAUUUUUAGUUGAGUCCCAGCGAUAAAAGUCAUGAAAAACCUUUUAAAUCAUAGAAGAUAGUAGAUUUUAUUCUCUACUUGACUCUUCUAAUGGAUUGCUUAUUCCGCUGCAGUUUUUGAUCUAAAAUUUGUUGUCUAUUAUAUUCUAUCAGUUGUUAUACUGUUGAAGGCUAUUGAUAAUUUAUUCUGCAUUAUCUUAGUCAUAAUAUUUCUUACUGGGCUAGUUGAGCUCACCCUUUCUUUUACUGUUCUCUUCAGGAAAUGAGAACAUAGCUGGGACUAGUCGGGGAACAUAGUGAUGGUCAUAGAUGGUGCAUUAGUAGUCCUCACUAUUAUGUGAAAUAGUGUGAUAAUAAAUGUAAUAAGGACUCCAUUGAGUGUGGAUAUUGUCUAGAUGACAAUAUUUGUAUUUAAACUCACAGCUCAUGUUGUAAAUUUAAGAUUGUAUUUGGCGACUCAGAAUAGGUGAUGUAUACCUAUUUUGGGGGCGUCACAAUAGCAGUCAUCGAAGCGGUGACAACAAGCGUGGAGGGAAUCAACAUGCCAGAAAUGGUAACCACUUCGGUGGUAAUCAGGGCCAAAACAAUAAGAAUGGAUAUUUCAAGAAGAGGAGAUUCAACAAUGAUGGAAAGACGUCAGCACCAGCACCCGUUGUUAAGGAAGGAGAACGACCACCUAUCAUAUGCUUCAAAUGCGGAGGGGAGGGACACAUCAGUCCAAACUGCGCGAUGCCGUCCAAAGUAUGUUAUAAUUAUGAAAGAGAAGGUCACUUAGGCCAAUUUUGUCAUUCACCGAAGACAAGUUCAGCUAGGAUGGAGGCACCAAAGGCCGUCCCAGAAAAGUCAAAGCCGGUAGUUUAGGAGAGAGCAUUUUUUUCGUGACAAGGAACCUGAAUAAAAUUAUCACGGGUAUGUUAGUCAUAAACUCUUGUGAAGUCUAUACCAUGUUAGAUACUAGUUCUACUUACUCUUUUAUUUCACCUAGUUGUGUUCAAUGUUUGAAGUUAACUCCGGAGAAGUUAGACUUUGAUAUAUCUGUUUAAACUCAGUCGGGAGAAACCUUCGUUACUUCCACUACUUAUAAAUCUUGUUCAAAUCAACACUUUCACGUUACAUGUCGAUCUUUUCUCUUUGAAAAUACUUGCCUUUGAUGCGAUUUUAGGAAACGAUUGGUUAACUACUCAUAUGACGCGAAUGUUUUUAAGAGGUUUGAAGCCAGAGAUACGUCAAUAUCUUAUUUCUCAUAAACUGUGUUUGUAUUCAGAUGUUGUAAAUAGGGCUCAGUUAGUGGAGCGCGAUAACGAGUCAACGCAACCAAAAGAGAGCAGCCAGCAAAAUGAUAAUACUGGUGAUAACAUUCAUCAAAGCGGUGACAAUAAGGAUAGAGGGAAUCAACAUGGUAACCACUUCGGUGGUAAUCAUGGUAAAAACAAUAAGAAUGGACAUUUCAAGAAGAGGAGAUUCAACAAUGAUGGAAAGACGUCAGCACCAGCACCCGUUGUUAAGGAAGGAGAACGACCACCUAUCAUAUGCUUCAAAUGCGGAGGGGAGGGACACACCAGUCCCAACUGCGCGAUGCCGUCCAAAGCAUGUUAUAACUGUGGAUGAGAAGGUCACUUAGCCCAAUUUUGUCAUUCACCAAAGACAAGUUCAGUUAGGAUGGAGGCACCAAAGGCCGUCCCAAAAAAAUCAAAGCCGAUAGUGCAAGGGAGAGCGUUUGUUGUGACCUCCCAGAAGGCAAAGAACCCGAAUGAGGUCAUCACGGGUAAGCUUAUCAUAAACUCUAGCGAAGUCUAUACUUUAUUUGAUACCGGUUCUACCCAUUCUUUUAUUUCUCCUACUUGUGCUCAACGAUUAAACUUAACUCCAAAGAAAUUAGACUUUGACUUAUCUGUGGAAACUCCGUUGGGAGAAACCUUCAUUACAUCCACUGUUUAUAAGUCUUGUUUGGUUCAAAUCGGUACCCUCACAUUACCAGUCGAUCUUAUUUCAUUGAAAAUACUUGCAUUUGAUGUGAUUCUAGGGAUUGAUUGGUUAACUACUCAUCAUGCUAAAAUUGAUUGUUUUCGUAAGGUUGUUAGCUUUCAUAUUCCUAAUCAACCUAUUAUGCGAAUUCAAGCGACCAAACCAUUAAAAUCAAUCAAUGUCAUUUCAAGACAUAAAGCUAUUCGUUUAUUGAAAAACGGAUGUCAAUCUUUCUUAGCUCAUGUCACGGAUCUUAACAAAAAUACGUCAGUUUUGAAUAAUAUUUCUAUUGUUAAUGAAUUUUCUGACGUAUUCCCUGAAGAACUUCCUGGCCUACCCCCAGAGCGUGAAAUUGAAUUUUGUAUCGAUCUUGAACCCGGUACAAAACCUAUUUCCAAAGCCCCAUAUCGAAUGGCUCCUAUUGAACUUCAGGAGUUAAAGACCCAAUUGCAAGAAUUGUUAGACAUUGGCUUUAUUCGUCCUAGUACUUCUCCUUGGGGUGCUCCUGUUCUAUUCGUGAAAAAGAAAGACGGGAGUAUGCGACUUUGUAUUGAUUAUCGGGAAUUGAAUCAUGUCACCAUAAAAAAUAGGUACCCAUUGCCACGUAUUGAUGACCUGUUUGACCAGUUGCAAGGCGCCAAAUUCUUUUCAAAAAUUGAUCUUCGUUCCGGAUAUCACCAAUGGAAGAUUAGAACUGAUGACAUUCCAAAGACGGCUUUCAGAACUCGGUACGGGCAUUAUGAAUUUCUAGUCAUGUCAUUUGGAUUGACUAAUGCUCCUGCUGUCUUCAUGGAUAUGAUGAACCGAGUAUUCAAGGAAUAUUUGGAUCACUUUGUGGUCGUCUUUAUUGAUGACAAUCUUAUUUAUUCCAAAAGCCGUGAAGAUCAUGAACAACACUUGAGGCUGACACUCCAAAAGCUUCGUGAAUACAAGCUUUAUGCCAAGUUAAAAAAAAUAUGAAUUCUGGCUUGAGGAAGUAGCAUUCUUUGGGCACGUAGUAUCAAGUUAUGGAAUAUCUGUUGACCCGGCAAAGAUUGAAGCUAUUCAAAGCUUGGAGCAACCUAAAUCAGUGACCGAAGUACGUAGCUUUCUCGGCUUAGCUGGUUAUUAUCGGAGAUUCGUAGAAGGGUUUUCUCGAAUCGCUACUCCACUAACUCAGCUGACUCGGAAAGAUACAAAGUUCGGUUGGAGCGAGGAAUGUGAGAAGAGUUUUCAAGAACUCAAGAGGAGACUCAUUUCAGCACCUGUUCUGACAAUACCAUCUGGCUCGGAGGGAUUUGUCAUCUACAGUGAUGCUUCGGGCAAAGGGUUAGGAUGUGUUCUCAUGCAACAUGGGAAAGUCAUAGCCUAUGCCUCACGACAACUCAAAGAAUAUGAGAGGAAUUAUCCUACUCAUGAUCUAGAGUUGGCAGCUGUUGUCUUCGCACUUAAAAUUUGGAGGCAUUACUUGUAUGGGGAGAAAGUGGAGAUCUUUACGGAUCAUAAAAGCCUCAAAUAUUUCUUCACUCAAAAGGAACUCAACAUGCGACAACGACGUUGGCUUGAACUGUUGAAAGAUUAUGAUCAUACCAUCCAAUACCAUCCUGGAAAAGCGAACGUGGUAGCUGACGCAUUGAGUAGAAGAUCAUAUGCAAGUACGAGUGCGAUAUUGUCAACGCAAAGGCCCAUUUUGUGUGACUUGCAAAGGAUGGAGAUAGAGUUAAAGACUCCAGGGACCCAUGUGAUGAUGGCGAAUAUACGAGUAGAACCGACUUUAAUUGAUAAAGUUAAAGCUGCUCAAGCUACAGACCUGGAGCUGAUGCGUAUGAGGAAGAAAGUGCAAGAAGGUGCUAUGCCGGAAGCAAGAAUCGAUGAAGAAGGAAUACUUCGAGUCAACUCCAGACUUUGUGUUCCUAACGACCCUGAUUUAAAGUAUAAAAUCAUGAUGGAGGCGCACAACACACCGUUUGCAAUCCAUCCUGGGAGUACCAAAAUGUAUCGUGAUCUUCGUCAUACAUUUUGGUGGAGCAAUAUGAAGAGAGAGAUAGCGCUGUUUAUCUCAAGGUGUCUAACUUGUCAACGAGUCAAGGCGGAGCAUCAAGUACCAAAAGGUCCAUUGCAACCACUUGAAAUUCCAGAAUGGAAGUGGGAGCACAUUACCAUGGAUUUCGUUACUGGUCUUCCCAAGGUUUCUCAAGGCAUAGAUGCGAUUUGGGUCAUUGUUGAUAGAUUGACCAAGUCUGCUCAUUUCUUACCGAUACGAGAAACUUAUACACUUGAACGUCUUGCUCGUAUGUACAUAAACGAGAUUGUAAGACUGCAUGGUAUGCCAGUAUCCAUAGUUUCUGAUCGAGACCCAAGAUUCACUUCACGAUUUUGGGUUAGUUUGCAAAAAGCUAUGGGCACAGAUUUACGAUUUAGCUCGGCAUAUCAUCCUCAGACGGACGGACAGUCGGAGAGGACUAUUCAAACUCUUGAAGAUCUAUUAAGACUCUGUGUCCUUGAUUUCAAGGGAAGUUGGGACAAGUUCUUACCAUUGGUGGAGUUUUCCUACAACAACAGUUAUCAAGCAAGUAUUGGCAUGGCUCCAUUCGAAGCGUUGUAUGGAAGAAAGUGUCGUUCUCCAGUAUGCUGGGAUGAGGUGGGUGAAGCAACGUUGUUGGGACCGGAGUUGGUACGUAUGACUACGGAAAAGAUUCAAACGAUCCGACAACGUAUAAAAACCUCACAAGAUCGACAAAAGAGUUAUGCUGAUCUUCAUCGAAAGGACGUGGAAUUCGAUAUAGGAGAUCAUGUGUUGUUACGUGUUGCUCCAUGGAAAGGAGUUACGAGAUUUGGAAAGAGAGGAAAGCUCAAUCCUCGAUUCAUCGGCCCAUUUUUAAUCCUCGAUCGAGUAGGAACUGUGGCCUAUAGACUCGCUUUACCGCCAAGUAUGUCUCGUGUUCAUAACGUUUUUCACAUAUCCAUGUUACGUAAAUAUGUGGAAGACCCGAACCACAUUAUUGAGUUAGAACCGGACGAAAUAGCGGAAGAUUUGACGUAUGAAGAGGUUCCUGUUCAAAUCUUGGAUAAGAAGGAACAUAUUCUACGCUCCAAGGUUAUACCUCAAGUCAAAGUUUUGUGGAGAAACCACGAUGUUGAGGAAAUGACUUGGGAGUUAGAAUCUGAAAUGAAAUCAAGGUAUCCUUACCUCUUCGACAUACCAGGUACGUACCCUAAUUUCGAGGGCGAAAUUUCAUAAGAAGGGGAGGUUGUAAGACCCCAACUUUUAUGAAUAAAGAUGAAUUUUCUAUAAAUAUCAUUUUUGAAUAUUAUGGAGUGAAUUUGAUAUAAUGUUAUAGUUGUGGGUAAUAUUUAUAAAUUUUGCAAAGUACGCAAGUUGUUAUAUAAUAUUCGAUUGGUCGGGGAAUAUUCGUUUUAACAGGGAAUAUUCGUACAACGGCACAAUCAUUGGUGGACCCCACAACGGAAUUAUUGUCGGAUUGAGAAAACGACAAAAAUACUUUAUGAAAAUAACGGCGGAAGUUUUACCGUUAACUGUUGAAACACCCGGUGUUAAAAGUACAGUAAUACGCGUGGUUGCAUAGUAGCACACGGUAUUAAUUAUUGAUGCUUACGUGAUAAGUCACUCAGUUUUGUUGGUAUUAUUAAUGUAAUAAUACAGAAAAUCUUUUUAUAUAAAACAGAAUACUUUUAUAAAGUUAUUCUAUAAAUAGAAUAUAUUAUAUUCUAUUAUGCAUAGUGUUGCAUAGUGUCUGCAUAGUGUUUUGCAUAGUAAAAUCUUUUUAUAUAAAACAGAAUACUUUUAUAAAGUUAUCUGUUUUAUUAGACAAUAAUUAGAAUAUAUUAUAUUUUAUUAUGCAUAGUGUUUGCAUAGUGCCUGCAUAGUGUUUGCAUAGUAAAAUCUUUUAUAAAGUUAUUCGUUUUAUUAGAUUAUAAAUAGAAUAUAUUAUAUUUUAUUUAAAAGAUUUUGCUUUAAAUAUGGACCGUCAGAUUAAAGUAAAUCAAUCUGGACCGUUCAUGAGUUAGUUACUAUGCAGUCCAUUUUUCUAUAAAUAGAAGCUCAUUCCUUCAUUAUUUUCUUACGAAUUCACUGAAACUCUAGAGAGAUAAACUAUAGAGAGAAAGAAGAAAGUAUUCUGCUACUUCACUACUUAUAUAUCCAGUACUCUUCUUCUUAAGGUAGGGAAUAUUAUUUGUUGUACUCGUAAGGGGUGUUAUUCUUUUAUAUUCAUGAAGAGAACUUCUGUUAUUCCAUUCUUUAUUAUUCUGCUGGAAUAACCAGUAUACGCGGACUACCCUAUACUUGGUGAUAUUCUUCUAAUAUUCCGUCUUUACUAUUCUGUUGGAAUAUCCUGUCUGUGCGUUUUACGCCGGACCUGAUUCCGUCUUUACUAUUCUGUUGGAAUAUCCUGUCUGUGAGUUUUACACCGGACCUGAUUCCGUCUUUACGAUUCUGUUGGAAUAUCCUGUCUAUGCGUUUUACGGCGGACCUGGUUCCGUCUUUAUUAUUCUGUUGGAACAUCCUGUCGGUGCGAAUUUCGCCUGACCUGGUUCCGUUACUUAUUAAUCUGUUGGAAUAACCUGUCUAUGCGAAGUACCGCAUGCAUGGUGAUUUCUUUUGUUAUUCCAUUCGUUAUUAUACUCAGUUGGUUAAAGUUUUGACUUCUAUACUUCAUGAAAUUAGUGGAAUAUCCUUGAUAUUUGCGCUUCAUCUAGUAUCUUUUCGUGGAAAUAUUCUUCUGAGCAUUCUUAAAAUUAAUCCACAAAGAAGUAUCAUGUUGACAAUUUGGACGUUAUUGAUUCUUGGAUAAAAUAAUUCUUGAACUUGUUUUUAUUGAAUUAUUAUAUCAUUGUCAUCAUCCUCAUGUUUAUAUUUUGUUGAAAGUCAUCUGUGGCCUGUAGCGCAUAGAUGGACUUGGUAUGAUUAUGACCAGGGAUUAUUCGGUGUAAUCAUGACCGUAAUGUUACAAAUGAUGUGAUAAAAGUCCUCAUUGGCCCGUAGUGCAUUGAUGGACAGUUGUUGGCAUGAUCAUGACCAUUAAUGAAUACACAAAUAUUCUUGGCCCGUAGUGCAUGGAUAAUUGUGGUCGUGAUACUAAAGAAUAUCCUUGGCCGUAGUGCAGGGGUGAUUCGGUGAUGUGGAUUAUUUAUUAAGCUGAGUCCCAGCGAUAACAGUGAUGAAAAACCUUUUAAAUCAUAAAAGAUAGUAGAUUUUAUUCUCUACUUGACUCUUUUAAUGGAAUGCUUGUUCCACUGCAGUUAAACUUGAUGUGGUUAUAUUUUAUCAGUUUAACACUGUUGAAGGCUAACGAUAAUUUAUUCUGCAUUAUCUUAGUCAUAAUAUUUCUUACUGGGCUAGUUGAGCUCACCCUUUCUUUCACUGUUCUCUUCAGGAAAUGAGAACGUAGCAGGGACUAGUCGGGGAACGGAGUGACGGUCCAGAGGAUAGCAUUAGUAGUCCUCACUAUUCUGUGAAAUAGUGUGUUAAUAAUUGUAAUGAGGACUCUUUUUGAGUUUGUAUAAUCUCUAGUAGACUAUAUUUGUAUUCAAACUCACAGUUAUGUUUUGUCGUAUUGUACACGACAGUUGUAUUAGUAAGUUGUAUUUGAAUUCUGUACCAUGUAUCUGGCGACUCAAGAUGGGUGAUGUAUACCUAAUUUUGGGGGCGUCACAGCUUGAUGCUCUCCUUUCUCUCGGCAGUUCAGAACACUUUUCAUGUAGUAGAACUCUCACUUCUACAUAGUAGAACUCACACUUCUACUUCUUGUUUGAUCUGACUUCUGAGUGUUCUUGGUGGAUCGUAGAGUGAGCCUUCGGACUCACUAUCACUUGGUUAGAUCAGUCCACCUUCUCUCCAAAAAUGACAACUCCAGCAACCUUUGAUCUUUGAAGCUUCUCUACAUUUAUACACCUUCCCAAUCCUUCCGUUGAAAAGUAGCCGUUGGAAGCUAUUCAAAUGUCUUCACAGAUCUCAAGUUGCUUGAGGUAGACUGCUUGAUGUUGACAUGACAUACUUUAUCUGACGCUGUAGUCUACUUUUUCACCUACCAUGUCAGAUGUAUCACUUUAUUGUCUUGGGCAGGUUGAAGACUUUAUUUCUUCUGAUUUCUUGAUCAGAGGUUGUCCUUUUGCAUCAAUGCUCUCAAUAAGCACUUGUCCGAAUAUUACCCUUCAGAUUGAACCGUUGCCAAUGCUUCAGUCUUCAGUGAUUCGAACUCUACGAUUCUGAUGCACGUCUUCAAUGACCUGAUCGUAGUGUCUUGUUGAGUGUUUCUCGCUGACUGGUAGAAUUAACACUACGAUCCUAAAGAGUGUUACUUGAAUCUUCAAUGUAGAACACCUCUUCCUUGUAUUGUGCAGUGCUUCAAUACUUCUGUUUGCUUCGACUGUUCUCAGAGACUGAUGGCCUAAUUCCAUGCUCUGGUCCCCUUCUGAAUAUCAAGACACUUCAGAUUUGUGACGCGUCCAGCUUGCUUUCUCCUUGUGAUCUCCCGUUCACUUAUCAUCAAUGAACUGACCCUGCACUUAAUCACUUUAGCCUUGCUCUUCAGAGGCUGACCAGUUUCUCGAUUCACCUUCCAUCAGUUCUUUCUUUGUCUGACAAACACUACGAUCCUGGUUGCUUCCAAGAUCGUUGUCUUCCGUUCUCUUGACAGCUACUGCAUUAGCUGACUUUUCCUUAGUCAGUUGGUGAAGUCUUCAUUGGAUCUUCUUGUGGAAGACUUCAUCACGAAUGGCCUUACAACUCAAUCUUGAUGCUGAUUGAGUUGAUGCUUAGUUCUUCUGCUAGCCUGCAUGCCAUUCGUUGAGUGCUUUCUGGUUCCCUUACUGUGGAUUGCAUCUUUGCAGUGCCAACCAGAGGCUUCGUUCCUUUGGAUAUUCUGAGAGUGCUCAUUCGUUGAGAACCGUAUCUGCUCUACGAUUCUGACUUAGCAUUGUGAGCACUUCUAUUGGAGUCGUAGUUCUGCAUUCUACGAUUCUGCUUCGGCUGUGCAGACACUACGAUCCCGAGAUCAGAUCUUGACACUCUACGAUUUCUGCCUUAUGCAUGUUGUCUUCAUCUGAUCUUGCCUGACUACGAUCUCUGCAUUCAUUCAAUGGACUCUACGAACUCAGAGUGUAGUCUACGAUCCUUGACUUGGCUUCGGCAUCGCUAGAUUCUACGACUCUGAGUGUAGUCUACGUUUCAGACUUUGUUUCGGCAGAUGAUCGUUCGGCUCAUAGACAGGCUGUCUCUACGAUUCUGAACUUGAUUUCCUCAGCACAAUACGAUCCUGAGGAAGCUCUUCUCGACACACUACAAUCCUUCUUCGUUUCCCCUAGAAGUCUACGAACUCCGAGAUCUCACUAUCUUGCAUACUCUUAUUCUGCCUCGAUAGCUCCCGAGUUAACUUGGACUCUCCUGGCAGACUACGACUUCUGGUGCAGUGCUCGACGAUCAGACUAGCCUAUCUAUUACAUCAUAAGAUCAACCUAACACGCUAGAUCUUUCUAUAUUUAUAGUCCUUGUACAUCAUUUCUUUUUAAGGACUUUACAAAGCUGUUUUACUUUAUGUAGGAUCAACCUAACAUAUUUGAUCAAUUCAUUCUAAGUCCUUGUACAUAUAUUUCUAUUAUCUACCAAGGGACUUUACAGCUUUUCUUAAUGCAAACAUACUUGCAUAUUCAUUCAUAUAUAUCAUAAUCAAAUCAUAUAAUAAAUAGGAAUAUCAUUCACAUGAUUAUUCCUGACAAACAAUAACCCAAAUCGCAUCUAUGCCUUGAGAUACCUUGGGAAGACCAGUAAUGAAAUCCAUAAUAAUGUGUUCUCACUUCCAUUUCGGAAUCUCAAGUGGUUGCAAUGGACCCUUUGGUACUUGAUGCUCCGCCUUUACACGUUGAAAAGUUAAACACCUCGAGAUAAACUCCGCGAUCUCUCUUUUCAUAUUGCUCCACCAAAAUGUAUGUCGAAGAUCAUGAUACAUUUUGGUACUCCCAAGAUGGAUUGCAAACGGUGUGUUGUGUGCAUCCAUCGUGAUUCUAUACUUCAAUUCAGAAUUGUUAGGAACACAAAGUCUGGAGUUGACUCGAAGUAUUCCUUCUUCAUCGAUUCUUGCUUCUGGAAUAGCACCUUCUUACACUUCCUUCUUCAUACGCAUCAGCUCCAUGUCCGUAGCUUGAGCAGCUUUAACUUUAUCGAUUAAAGUCGGUUCUACUCGUAUGUUUGAUAUCAUCACGUGGGUACUUGGAGCCUUUACCUUUAUCUCCAUCCUUUGCAAGUCAUACAAAAUAUACCUUUGUGUUAACAGCAUUGCACUCGUACCUGCAUAUAAUCUUCUACUCAAUGCGUCAGGUACCACGUUUACUUUUCCAAGAUGAUAUUGGAUGGUAUGAUCGUAAUCUUUCAACAGCUCGAGCCAACGUCGUUGCCGCAUGUUGAGUUCCUUUUGGGUGAAGAAGUAUUUGAGGCUUUUAUGAUCCAUAUAGAUCUCCACUUUCUCCCCAUACAGGUAGUGUCUCCAGAUCUUUAACGCGAAAACGACUGCUGCCAACUUCAAAUCAUGAGUAUGAUAAUUCCUCUCAUAUUCUUUGAGUUACCGUGAGGCAUAGGCUAUGACUUUCCCAUGUUGUAUGAUAACACAUCCUAACCCUUUGCCUGAAGCAUCGCUAUAGAUAACAAAUCCAUCCGAACCAGAUGGUAUUGUCAGAAUAGGUGCCGAAAUGAGUCUUCUCUUGAGUUCUUGAAAACUCUUUUCACAAUCCUCGUUCCAACCGAAUUUUAUAUUUUUACAAGUCAGCUGAGUUAACGGAGUAGCGAUUCGAGAAAAUCCUUCCACGAAUCUCCGAUAGUAACCAGCUAAGCCCAGAAAGCUACGUACUUCGGUCACCGACUUUGGUUGCUCCCAACUUUGUAUGGCUUCAAUCUUCGCCGGGUCGACCGAUACUCCAUGUUUUGACACCACGUGCCAAAGGAAUGCUACUUCCUCAAGCCAGAACUCGCAUUUCUUCAGCUUGACAUAUAGCUUGUUAUCACGAAGCCUUUGCAGUACCAGCUUCAAUUGGCGCUCAUGAUUUUCACGGCUUUUGGAAUAGAUGAGGAUGUCAUCAAUAAAGGCAACAACGAACUGAUCCAAAUAUUCUUUAAACACACGGUUCAUCAUAUCCAUGAAAGCAGCAGGAACAUUAGUCAAUCCAAAAGACAUAACUAAGAAUUCAUAAUGCCCGUACCGAGUUCUGAAGGCAGUCUUUGGAAUAUCCUCAGUUUUAAUCUUCAGCUGAUGAUAUCCAGAACGAAGAUCGAUCUUUGAAAAGAAAUGUGCUCCUUGCAACUGGUCAAACAAGUCAUCUAUGCGAGGUAGCGGAUACCUAUUCUUGAUAGUGACAUGAUUCAAUUCUCGGUAGACAAUACAAAGUCGUAUACUCCCGUAUUUCUUCUUUACGAAUAACACAGGAGCACCCCAAGGAGAUGUACUAGGACGAAUAAAACCGAUGUCCAACAACUCCUGUAGUUGGACCUUUAACUCCUGAAGUUCAAUAAGAGCCAUUCGAUAUGGGGUUUUAGAAAUGGGUUUUGUACCAGGUUCAAGGUCAAUAAAGAAUUCAACUUCACGUUCUGGGGGUAGACCGGGAAGUUCUACAGGAACUACAUCAGGAAAUUCACUAACAACAGAAAUUUUAUUCAAAUUUGACGUGUUUUUGUUCAAGUCCGUGACAUGGGCUAAGAAAGCUUGACAUCCAUUUUUCAAUAAACGAAUAACUUUAUGGCUUGAUAUGACAUUGAUUGACUUUAAUGGUUUGGUUGUUUGAAUUCGCAUAAUAGGUUGGUUAGGAAUAUGAAAACUAACAACCUUACGAAAACAAUCAAUUUUAGCAUGAUGCGUGGUUAACCAAUCAAUCCCUAAAAUCACAUCAAAUGCAAUAAUUUUCAACGAAAUAAGGUCGGCAGGUAAUGUGAUGGUACCAACUUGAAUUAAGCAAGAUUUAUAAAUAGUGGAUGUAAUGAAAGUUUCUCAUAACGGAGUCUCAACAGAUAAGUCAAGAUCUAAUUUCUCCGGAGUCAAGUUUAAACGUUGAGCACAAGCAGGAGAGAUAAAAGAAUGGGUAGAACCAGUAUCUAAUAAGGUAUAAACUUCGCAAGAGUUUAUGAUUAGCUUACCCGUGAUCACCUCGUUUGGGUUUCUCGUAUUUUGUGCAGUCACAACAAAUGCCCUUCCAGGAACCACCGACUUUUACUUGUCCGGGACAGCCUUUGUCACCAUCCCCGUUGAACUUGGUUUCGCAACUAGACAAUCUCUAGCUAUAUGACCUUCCUUUCCACANNNNNNNNNNNNNNNNNNNNNNNNNNNNNNNNNNNNNNNNNNNNNNNNNNNNNNNNNNNNNNNNNNNNNNNNNNNNNNNNNNNNNNNNNNNNNNNNNNNNCAUUGCUCCGAUGACCGCUGCCCCCGGUAUGACCCUGGUUGUGGUCCCUCGGUUGAACAUACUCAUUAUCUCGCUCUAAUAAUUGAGCCCUGUUUACAACAUCUGAAUAUAAAGAAAAUUUAUGAGAUAUAAGAUAUUGCCGAAUCUCGGGCUUUAGACAUCUCAGAAACAUCCUCGUCAUUCGUUCCUCAUUCUCGACCAAAUGAGGUGCAAACCUGGAUAACUCUGCAAACUUCGCCUCAUACUGGGACACCGACAUGUUGUUUUGUCCCAGUCUGAUAAACUCCACCUCCUUCAUAUGACGAAUACUUUCAGGAAAGUACUUGUCAUUCAAUAGUUUCUGAAAUGUUUCCCAAGACAUGCUGAGUGCGGCAGGCUGCGUACGCUUCACAGACUCCCACCAGUAGUCUGCCUCACUGCGGAACAUAAAGGUGGCGAAUGGAACCUUCUGUUCCUCCGUGCAUCCCAAGACAUCAAAUAUCUUCGUAAUUUGCUUGACCCACGUUUCCGCCUUGAUCGGAUCCGAUUUUCCCUAAAAUCCUGGUGGUCCCAACUCUUUGAACUGCUUGGCUGUGACAAGCCGCGCGUUGUUAUCAUUUCCACCCGCAUUUUGUACACGAGUCUCCCUCGUCUGGUUUUGCAUGAACUGCAAAAAGCUUCUAAACAUCCCCUCAUUCUACAUUCGUUCGGUAGUUUUGUUCACAGGAGGAAUAUUGCCUUCCUGUUGCACGUUCCCCUGGGUGGUGAUUAAAGGUGUCUCCACGAUCUCAUUCACUCUAUUAUUAACGUUCUCAGCUGCCAUUCUUAAAUACUGCCAUAAAACAAGGGUUAAUUGUCAUGUCAUAUAUUAUCCCUAUACUCUAACCGACAAAAUAAAUACCAAAUAAACUUAGUCAGGUCAUACUGACGAAGGAAUUCCCCGUCUCUCCCCUCCUAGUUCUUGUCUCACAUCUCAGCCAGGGAUCAUAUCCCUAAGCUCUGAUAUCAACUGUGACUUUGGACACCAACUUGUGUCAGCAUCUCACCAGGGUACCUAUCAGCUUGCCACCGCAAAACGGCGUCCCCUACGGAGAGUCUGGCUUCGGUGCAUCCCUCAUCAACAGGAAGUCACCAGAUAGAGGCUCAGGGCUCUUUACUUAUGGCUCUGAUACCAACUGUGAUGCCCCCAAAAUAGGUAUACAUCACUCAUUCUGAGUCUCCAAAUACAUGGUACAAAAACAAAUACAACCUCAGUAAAACAAUUGUCGUGCAAAAUACGACAACACAUAUACUGUGAGUUUGAAUACAAAUAUAGUCUAAUAGAGAGUAUAAAAACUCAAAGGAGUCCUCAUUACAAUUAUUGAUACACUAUUUUACAAAAAUAGUGAGGACUGCUUAAUAUAAAUUUCUAGAACCAUCAUUCCAUACCCUGACUAGUUCCUGCUAUGUUCUCACCUCCUAAGAAGAAAAAUGGAACAAAAAGAAAAAAGGUGAGCUCAACUAGCCCAGUAAAGAAUAUUAUGACUAAGAUAAUAUACAACAAAUUAUCAUUAGUCUUCAACAAGGAAUAAUCUGAUAAAAUAUAAUAGACAACAAGUUUUAGAUAAACAAUUGCAGCGGAACAACAAUCCAUUAGAAGAGUCAAGUAGAGAAAGAAUUCUACUAUCUUCUAAGAUUUAAAAGUUCAUCAUCAAUAUUUUAUCCGUGUAACAUUAAUCAAUAUACAUCUUGAAUCAAAUAUUCAUCUUUGCACUACAGGCCAAAGAUAUUCAUUUGUAUCACCAGUUGAUCAUGUUCAUCUCAACACCUGUUCAUUUUUGCACUACGGGCCAAAGAUAUUCAUUAGGUAAUCAUUCAUCUUUGCACUACAGGCCAAAGAUAUUCAUUAAUAUCAUCAUUUAGGACUGAAGAUGAUAAAAAAUAUUUUAAAGAAAACGAAUCCAGUGAGAAAAGAACAAAUAGUAGGGAUUCGUAUUACAGUUUAUCCAAGUUCAAUAAUACUCCGUAAUAAUCAAUUUUGAAGAAGAAUUCAAAAAUAAUGAUCAAAACAUGGAUACAAUCAAAGAUAGUAACCAUAAUUGACAUCUUGGACAAAAAGAAGAAAAUUUCAUUUUUUGGUGAAUAGUAACCUAUUCGUGAAUAGUGCCGUAUACGUGAAUAGUAAUCCCGACACAAAAAAUUCUAAAUUUGAUAAAAAGUUCAAAAUAAUAUUUCGGCAUAAUGAUAUUGAAGAAAAUAAUAUCAUUUAAGAAGAAAAUAACAUCCCUUACCUUGCAAAGACAGUACUUCUGACUGGAAUACUGGAUAUAGUGCUGAAUGAACUUGCACCGUAUAAUAACACUCAAAGUACUAAAAUACUCACAAAAUACGCUCAAUAUUAUAGAGAGAGAAAGAGAUAAAACUUAUGAAUUUUGGUGUGAUUUUCAAUUCUAACUAAGUACCCUAUUUAUAAGAAAAUGCUUAGAACGCCAUAGAAGACUAACCUGCUACAUGAUGGUUUAACCUGUUACUAUUGCCACCCACCACAGUUGAAAUUCAAUUGAGCACAUUUCUCACCAACCAAUUCUAGAAUUUUCCAAAAUGUUUUAUCAUUUAAACAAUAGUCAGAAACUUUAAUAAUUCAUAGAAAAUAACCCAUUUAUCAGAAAAAUACGAAUUUUAUGUCCAUUCCACACGAAAUCGAAUUCUCUACAACUUUGUAGCUUUGAGUUUUUCCAAAUUCCAAACAAAAAAUACCCAAAAUUCACAAACGGAUGAUUUUUAAAUACUUCCAAUUCGAUAAAAUACUGAUAAAACACCUCAGCAUUAAUUCUUUCAUUUUAACCACAAUAAAUAUAUCCAACAUUUAUAUCCACAUAAAUAAAUAUUUCCUUAUCAUAUGAAUCAAUAAUUAAUUAUUCACAAAUAAUAUUACAGAAUCACAUUUAUGACAACCAGGCUGUUCCCAGGAAAUAGGGGGCUUUCCGAUAAGGAUUGUCAAUAAUGCUAUCUAAUAAUAUGAAUUAUUGAUCUGAUAAUGGAGAUGCUGUGCAGUGACAAUUAUUGAGCAACAAUAAUAUAAAAUAUCAACGCAGCAAUUAUUGAAUCAAUAAAAAAAAAUAUUGAACAGUAAUUAUUGUGACAAUUAUUGAGUAGUGCCUUCUUACGUAAGAAUCAAUAAUUCAAAAAUACUGUGCAAAACCGUGUGCUACUGUGCAACCACGCGUAUUACUGUAUUUUAACCAUCGGAUAUUCCAACAGUGUUCACGGUAACAACUACACCGUUAUUUAUAAAAACUCAAACUUUGUCGUUUUCUUCAUCCGACCGUUAUUCAUUGUAGGCCUACAAAUGGUUGUGCCGUCGUACGAAUAUUCCCCGACAGAAAGAAUAUUUCCCGACAACAAUGAAUAUUUUAUAACCACUUGCUUAUUUUAAAAAUUUGCACAUUUCACCCAUAACAAAAACAUUAUAUCAAAUUAACACCUUAUUAUUCACAAUAAUAAAUAGAGAAAAUUUGAUUUUAUUCAAUAAAAAGUUGGGGUCUUACAACCUCCCCUCCUUAUGAAAUUUCGUCCUCGAAACCUGGUGUUUCGAAAAGGUGAGGAUACCUCGCUUUCAUUUCUGAUUCCAACUUCCAGGUCAUCUCUUCAAUAGCAUGGUUUCUCCACAAAAUCUUAACUUGUGGUAUAACCUUCAUGCAUAGGACAGGCUCUUUCCUAUCCAAGAUCUUUACAGGUACCUCCUCAUACGUUAAAUCUUCGGCUAUCUCGUCUGGUUCUAACUCAAUAAUGUGGUUCGGGUCUUUAACAUAUUUACGAAGCAUAGAUAUGUGAAAAACAUUAUGAACAAGAGACAUGCUUGGAGGUAAUGCGAGUCUAUAGGCCACAUUUCCUAUUCGGUUAAGAAUUUCAAAUGGACCAACAAAUCGUGGAUUGAGCUUUCCCCUCAUCCCAAAUCUUGUAACUCCUUUCCAUGGUGCAACACGUAACAAUACAUGAUCCCCAAUAUUAAAUUUCACGUCCUUCCAAUGAAGAUCCGCAUAACUCUUUUGUCGAUCCUAUGCCGUUUGUAUACGUUGUCGAAUCGUUUGGAUCUUCUCUAUAGUCAUUCGUAAAAACUCUGGUCCCAACUCUGUAGGGAUAUUAUUUUUGUUCUAUAUUCGUAUGAAAUAAUAUUUUCUUCUAUACUCUAUAGUAUGUAAGUAAUAUUAUUUCGUUUCAGAUUCUGAAUUUUACACUUAUUUUGUUAAGUAUUGCUUCUAUACUCCUUGAAAUUAGUAGAAUAUCCUUGAAAUUUGCGCUUCAUCGAGUAUCUUUUCACAUGAAUAUUUUUCUGGACAUUUUUGUUAAAUUUUAAUCUUUUCAUGCGGGGGUACUAUUCAUGGGAUACUAUUCACAAAAUACUAUUCACGGGGGACUAUUCAUCCGGGUAAUAUUCAACCGAAAAAUUAAUUUCUUUUUUGUCCAAAUUAUUUUUGAUAAAUGGAUAUUAUUCUUGAAUUUUACUCCACAAAGCAGUUAUCAUGUUGUUAAUUUGGACAUUUUUAAACUCUGGAUAAAUUAAAAAUCUUUAAUAUUUAUCCUUGAUUUCGUUUGAUUGAAUUCUUAUAUCAUUGUCAUCAUCCUCAUGCUUAUAUUGUGAUGAAAGUCAUCUUUGGCCCGUCGUGCAUAGAUGGACUGUUGAUUGGUAUGAUUAUGACUGGGGAUUAUUCGGUAUAAUCAUGACCUGUAAUGUUACAAAUGAUGUGGUAAAAGUCCUCAUUGGUCUGUAGUGCAUUGAUGGACAGUUGUUGGCAUGAUCAUGACCAUUGGUGAUAAUAACGAAUAUCAUUGGCCCCUAGUGCAUGGAUGAUUCGUGGAUGUGAUAAUAAUGAAUAUCAUUGGCCCGUAGUGCAUGGAUAAUUCAGUGAUGUGGAUUAUUUAUUGAGCUGAGUCUCAGCGAUAAAAUUGGUGAUAAACUUUUAAAUCAUAAAAGAUAGUAGAUAUUAUGCUCUACUUGACUCUUCUAAUGGAUUUUUUGUUCCGCUGCAGUUAUACUUGUUGUCUAUUAUAUUCUAUCAGUUUAACACUGUUGAAGGCUAACGAUAAUUUAUUCUGCAUUAUCUUAGUCAUACUAUUCUUUACUAGAAUAGUUGAGCUCACCCUUUGCUUUCAUUGUUCUCUUCAGGAAAUGAGAAUAUAGCUGGGACUAGUCGGGGAAUGGAGUGACGGUCCUGAUAGUUGCUUUAGUGGUCCUCACUAUUCUGUGAAAUAGUGUAAUAAUAAUAAUGAAGACUUCAUUUAAGUUUAGAUAUUGUGUAGGAGACAAUAUUCGUGUUAAAACUCUUAGCUUAUGUUGUCGAUGUUGGGAUUUUUAAAUGUCCCUUUUCGUUACUUGUUCUUUGGUGUUCUCAUUUUAGGUAAGAUUUGUUUGAAAAAAUAAGUGAAAAAGGUCCGACAUGUAUAAUGUCGACGAUAGACUGUUAAGAGUCGCCAGUUGAUUUUUUAAAUGGUUGUACCAACACAACCGAGAAAAGGUUUGCACAUUGACUCUGACAACCCCAAAAUAGGUCCAUUCCACCCAACCCAUUCUGAGUCGCCAAAUACAUGGUACAGAAACAAAUACAACUUCAGUAAUACAAUUGUCGUGUAAAAUAGACAACACGUAUACUGUGAGUUUGAAUAUAAAUAUUCUCUAAUAGACAGUAUAAAAACUCAAAAGGGGCCCUCAUUACAAUUAUUGAUACGCUAUUUCACAUAAUAGUGAAGACUACUAAUGCAACCAUCUAGACCGUCAAUCCAUUCCCCGACUAGUCCCAGCUAUAUUCUCAUUUCUUGAAGAGAACAGUGAAAGAAAGGGUGAGCUCAACUAGCCUAGUAAGAAAUAUUAUGACUAAGAUAAUGCAGAAUAAAUUAUCCUUAGCCUUCAACAGUAAAACAACCGAUAGAAUAUAAUAGACAACAAGUUUUAGAUCAACAACUGCAGCGGAAUAAGCAAUCCAUUAGAAGAGUCAAGUAAAUUAUAAAAUCUACUAUCUUCUAUGAUUUAAAAAGUUUUUCAUCAAUUUUAUCGCUGAGACUCAGCUUAAUAAAUAAUCCACAUCAUCAAAUCAUCCUUGCACUACGGGCCAAGGAUAUUCUUUAGUAUCACGACCACGAAUUAUCCAUGCACUACGGGCCAAAGAACAUGCCAUAAAACAAUUCAUCUUUGCACUCUUGGCCGAAGAGAAUCCAUAGCCAUAAUCAUACCAAAAACUGUCCAUCAAUGCACUACAGGCCAAUGAGGACUUUUUUCAUAUCAUUUGUAAUAUUACAGUCAUGAUUAUACCGAAUAAUCCCUGGUCAUAAUCAUACCAAGUCCAUCUAUGCACUCCAGGCCACAAAUAUUCAUCUUUGCACUACAGGCUAAAGAUAUUCAUUUGUAUCACCAGUUGGUCAUGUUCAUCUCAACACCUGUUCAUCUUUGCACUACGGACCAAAGAUAUUCAUUAGGUAAUCAUUCAUCUUUUAGAACUGAGGAUGAUGAAAAAUGUCUUACAGAAAAUGAAUCCAGUGAGAUAAAAGAUCAAAUAUUAAGGAUUCGUAUUAUAGUUUAUCCAAGUUCAAUAAUAUUCCAAAAUAACCAAUUUUGAAGCAGAAUUCAAAAAUAAUGAUCAAAACAUGGAUACAAUAAAAAUAGUAACCAUAAUAGACAACUUGGAUAAAUUUUUUUUUAUUUUUUUGGUGAAUAGUGCCGUAUUCGUGAAUAGUACCGUAUACGUGAAUAGUGCCGUAUACGUGAAUAGUAACCCCGACACAAAAAGUUCCAAAUUUGAUAAAAAGAUCAGACCAAUAUUUCGGCAUAAUGAUAUUGAAAGAAAUAAUAUCAUUUGAAGAAAAUAACAGCCCUUACCACAAAAGGACAAUACUUCUGACUGGAAUACUUGAUAUAGUGCUGAAAGAACUUGCACCAUAUAGUAACACUCAAAGUAUCAAAAUACUCACAAGAAUACGCUCGAUAAUAUAGAGAGAGAAAGAGAGAAAGCUUAUGUUUCUGGUGUGAUUUUCAAUUCUAACUUAGCCCUCUAUUUAUAGAAAAAUGUUAGCACGCCGAAGCAGACUUGACCUGCAACCUGAUGGCUUUACCUGCUACUAUUCCCACCUACCACAUUUGAAUAAAAAUUCCAGAACAUUUCUCACCAACCAAAAGUGGGGCCCACCAAUUCUAGAAUUUUCCACUAAAAUGAUAAAUUCCGAAACUUCAACAAUUUCUGAACCAGUCAUCUCUUAAAAUUCAUAACAAAUCAUACGUUCAUUUUUAACGGUUCAAAAUUUGUGGACAUAUACUCAACUUAUAUAUGUAUAACAUAUCCAAAAAUCACAACGAUCCAACGGUCAGAUCAAAAAUUAUAACUCACGCAAUAUAUUUCAAGAACACUGAUUUGAUCUUUUAAUACCUCAAAUCCGACAAAAUACUGAUAAAACACCUCAACAUUAAUCCCUUCAAUUAUAACCACAUAAAAUAAAUCCAUCAUUUAUAUCCACAUCAAAUAAAUAUUUCCAUAUCAUAUAAAUCAUAACUAAUUAUUCACAAAUAAUAUUACAGAAUCACAAUUAUGACAACCAGGCCGUUCCCAGGAAAGAGGGGGCUUUCCAAUAAGAAUUUUUCCUUACUGGCGCGCAAUUAGGUGACCAAACCUCUCCUUGACAGAACUUUCUAGACAUUGCCAAUAAUGCUAUCUAAUAAUAUUAUUCAAAUAAUAUGAAUUAUUGAUCUGAUAAUGGAGAUACUGUGCAGUGACGAUUAUUGAAACAACAAUAAUAUAAAAUAUCAACGCAACAAUUAUUGAAUCAAUAAAAUAAAAUAUUGAACAGUAACUACUGUGACAAUUAUUGAGUAGUGCCGUCUUACGUAAGAAUCAAUAAUUCAAAAAUACUGUGCAAAACCGUGUGCUACCGUGCAACCACGCGUAUUACUGUAUUUUAACCACCGGGUAUUCCAACAGUGUUAACGGUAACAACUACGCCGUUAUUUAUAACCCAAACUUGUCGUUUUCUUCAUCCGACAGUUAUCCGUUAUGAGGCCCACAAAUGGCUGCGCCGUCGUACGAAUAUUCCCCGACAUAAAGAAUAUUCCACGACCAAACGAAUAUUCUCCGACAAAAAUGAAUAUUUUAUACCACUUGCUUAUUUUGAAAAUUUUGCACAUUUCACCCAUAACCAAAGCAUUAUAUCAAAUUAACACCUUAUUAUUCACAAUAAUAAAUAGAGAAAAUUUGAUUUUAUUCAUUAAAAAGUUGGGGUCUUACAACUUCCCCUCCUUAUGAAAUUUUGUCCCCGAAAUUGACGUACGUACCUGGUAUUUUGAAAAGGUGAGGAUACCUUGCUUUCAUUUCUGAUUCCAACUCCCAGUUCAUUUCUUCAAUAGCAUGGUUCCUCCACAAAACCUUAACUUGAAGUAUAAUCUUUGUGCAUAGGACAUGUUUUUUCCUAUCCAAGAUCUUGACAGGUACCUCCUCGUACGUUAAAUCUUCGGCUAUCUCGUCUGGUUCUAACGCAAUAAUGUGGUUCGGAUCGUCCACAUAUUUACGUAACAUCGAUACGUUAAAAACAUUAUGAACACGCGACAUACUUAGCGUUAAGGCGAGUCUAUAGGACACAAUUCCUACUUGAUAGAGAAUUUCAAAUAAAUCGAAGGCUUGAGCUUUCUUCUUUUCAUCGACUCUUACUUCUAGAAUAACGCAUUCUUGCACCUUCUUCUUUAUAUUCAUCAGCUCCAGUGUGUAGCUUGAGCGGUUUUAACUUUAUCGAUUAAAGUCGAUUCUACUCGUAUAUUCGUUAUCUUCACGUGGAUCCAUAGAGUCUUUAACUAUAUCUUCAUCAUUUGUAAGUCAUAUAAAAUAAAUUUUUCUGUGAACAACAUCGCACUCGUAAACGCAUACGAUCUUCUACUCAACGCGUCAGCUACCACUUUCGUUUUCCCCACGAUGGUAUUGAAUGGUAUAAUCGUAAUCUUCAACAGCUCGAGCCAACGUCUUCAGCGCAUAAUACGUUUGUUUUAGGUGAAGAAAUAUUUGAGGGUUUUAGAAAUGGGUUUUGUACUGGGGUCAAUACAAAAUUCGAUUUCACGUUCUAGGGGUAGGCUAAGAAGUCUUCAAGAAUACGUCAGGAAAUUUAUUAACGAUAGAAAUAUCAUUCAAAACUGUGACUCUCAUCCAAGACUUGGAUAACACAUUUAAUGAAGGUUUCUCCUAACGGAGUUUCAACCGAUAAGUCAAAGUCAAAUUUCUCCGGAGUCAAAUUUAAACGUUGAGCGCAAGCAAGAGAGAUAAAAGAAUGGGUAGAACCGGUAUCUAAUAAGGUAUAGACUUCGCAAAAAUUUAUAAUUAACUAACCCGUGAUAACUACGUUCGAUUCCUCGUCAGGAUAAUUCAAAACUCGAUGUUGGAUUCUCCCAAUUGCUGUCGAAAAAGAGAAAUACAUAUCAUCUAUUUUAAUUUUCUUGGAUCGGACUUCUCUUUCCACCAUAUUACUUGACAUGUUGAACAAAAUUGGUUAUGUUCUUUUCUGGUCUAAUCUUCAGCAGUCAAAGAAUAUUUGUUAAAAACAUAGAUAAAUGGAAAUGCUCAAAUCCAAGUGUAAAUCUGCAACUAUAUGUUCAAAACAUAUUACGGCAAAUUCAAAUAUAACUAAGAGUAAUAUAUUUGUCGGUACAUUAAAGGUAACAUUUCUCUGCAGACAAAGUGGGUUUAUAAAAUGACAACAAUAAACAUGAUAAAAUGAAACCCUAGAGAAUAACCAAUUAUUUUAACAAGGGAAUGACAAUCUCACUUGAGAAAUAAGUGAAAAUUCGCCCGGCUAUAGUCCCCAACUUCCCCAAACACUUAAAUCCACAAAUAUAUGCAAAGAACAGCCUGUUACAGCAAGCAUCCAAAUUACUCGAACUCAAUUUAAUUUCUACAAACCUUCCUUUGAUAAGUAUAAACCCAUAACUGUGAUACUUGCAGAGGUUCGAGCAACCCAUUCUGCUCGUGACAUAGAAGCUUUUAUCAUCAAAUGUAUGUUCGUUGAUCAACAAGCUGUGCAACUCCAGUUCAAGAUUAACACCAUAUAAAUCUUAGCCGAGCAAGUCUCUGAACAAGUUGGGAUUCUGAUACGAAGGUGUCACACCCAUCUGCCUUACAAGUGCAUCCUUUUCCAAAGCGUCUUUAAGAUUUGGACCCUUAUUUGUUGAUUGUGGUGGUUGCGUAACUGUGCUUCCACCAUGGGCAUUGCUGUUACUUGCACCCAACAAACCAGAACCGAUAUUAACAUCAAUACUACUUGACCCCCCGCUAGACAGCUCUCCAUACAGUGACAUAAAAUCAGGUGCUUUUGUAGCAACUGAACCAGAAUUCAUAGCUGAAGUAUCUUGUGCUACAUCAACGAGACCCUCCAGUUGUUGGAAUGGAUCCACAGACAAGGCACUACUUGUAACAGUUGGUUCUCCCAGGUCAAGCAAGUCGGGAGGUGGC
rnacentral:lncRNA from 1 species